rnacentral:lncRNA from 1 species
NNNNNNNNNNNNNNNNNNNNNNNNNNNNNNNNNNNNNNNNNNNNNNNNNNNNNNNNNNNNNNNNNNNNNNNNNNNNNNNNNNNNNNNNNNNNNNNNNNNNNNNNNNNNNNNNNNNNNNNNNNNNNNNNNNNNNNNNNNNNNNNNNNNNNNNNNNNNNNNNNNNNNNNNNNNNNNNNNNNNNNNNNNNNNNNNNNNNNNNNNNNNNNNNNNNNNNNNNNNNNNNNNNNNNNNNNNNNNNNNNNNNNNNNNNNNNNNNNNNNNNNNNNNNNNNNNNNNNNNNNNNNNNNNNNNNNNNNNNNNNNNNNNNNNNNNNNNNNNNNNNNNNNNNNNNNNNNNNNNNNNNNNNNNNNNNNNNNNNNNNNNNNNNNNNNNNNNNNNNNNNNNNNNNNNNNNNNNNNNNNNNNNNNNNNNNNNNNNNNNNNNNNNNNNNNNNNNNNNNNNNNNNNNNNNNNNNNNNNNNNNNNNNNNNNNNNNNNNNNNNNNNNNNNNNNNNNNNNNNNNNNNNNNNNNNNNNNNNNNNNNNNNNNNNNNNNNNNNNNNNNNNNNNNNNNNNNNNNNNNNNNNNNNNNNNNNNNNNNNNNNNNNNNNNNNNNNNNNNNNNNNNNNNNNNNNNNNNNNNNNNNNNNNNNNNNNNNNNNNNNNNNNNNNNNNNNNNNNNNNNNNNNNNNNNNNNNNNNNNNNNNNNNNNNNNNNNNNNNNNNNNNNNNNNNNNNNNNNNNNNNNNNNNNNNNNNNNNNNNNNNNNNNNNNNNNNNNNNNNNNNNNNNNNNNNNNNNNNNNNNNNNNNNNNNNNNNNNNNNNNNNNNNNNNNNNNNNNNNNNNNNNNNNNNNNNNNNNNNNNNNNNNNNNNNNNNNNNNNNNNNNNNNNNNNNNNNNNNNNNNNNNNNNNNNNNNNNNNNNNNNNNNNNNNNNNNNNNNNNNNNNNNNNNNNNNNNNNNNNNNNNNNNNNNNNNNNNNNNNNNNNNNNNNNNNNNNNNNNNNNNNNNNNNNNNNNNNNNNNNNNNNNNNNNNNNNNNNNNNNNNNNNNNNNNNNNNNNNNNNNNNNNNNNNNNNNNNNNNNNNNNNNNNNNNNNNNNNNNNNNNNNNNNNNNNNNNNNNNNNNNNNNNNNNNNNNNNNNNNNNNNNNNNNNNNNNNNNNNNNNNNNNNNNNNNNNNNNNNNNNNNNNNNNNNNNNNNNNNNNNNNNNNNNNNNNNNNNNNNNNNNNNNNNNNNNNNNNNNNNNNNNNNNNNNNNNNNNNNNNNNNNNNNNNNNNNNNNNNNNNNNNNNNNNNNNNNNNNNNNNNNNNNNNNNNNNNNNNNNNNNNNNNNNNNNNNNNNNNNNNNNNNNNNNNNNNNNNNNNNNNNNNNNNNNNNNNNNNNNNNNNNNNNNNNNNNNNNNNNNNNNNNNNNNNNNNNNNNNNNNNNNNNNNNNNNNNNNNNNNNNNNNNNNNNNNNNNNNNNNNNNNNNNNNNNNNNNNNNNNNNNNNNNNNNNNNNNNNNNNNNNNNNNNNNNNNNNNNNNNNNNNNNNNNNNNNNNNNNNNNNNNNNNNNNNNNNNNNNNNNNNNNNNNNNNNNNNNNNNNNNNNNNNNNNNNNNNNNNNNNNNNNNNNNNNNNNNNNNNNNNNNNNNNNNNNNNNNNNNNNNNNNNNNNNNNNNNNNNNNNNNNNNNNNNNNNNNNNNNNNNNNNNNNNNNNNNNNNNNNNNNNNNNNNNNNNNNNNNNNNNNNNNNNNNNNNNNNNNNNNNNNNNNNNNNNNNNNNNNNNNNNNNNNNNNNNNNNNNNNNNNNNNNNNNNNNNNNNNNNNNNNNNNNNNNNNNNNNNNNNNNNNNNNNNNNNNNNNNNNNNNNNNNNNNNNNNNNNNNNNNNNNNNNNNNNNNNNNNNNNNNNNNNNNNNNNNNNNNNNNNNNNNNNNNNNNNNNNNNNNNNNNNNNNNNNNNNNNNNNNNNNNNNNNNNNNNNNNNNNNNNNNNNNNNNNNNNNNNNNNNNNNNNNNNNNNNNNNNNNNNNNNNNNNNNNNNNNNNNNNNNNNNNNNNNNNNNNNNNNNNNNNNNNNNNNNNNNNNNNNNNNNNNNNNNNNNNNNNNNNNNNNNNNNNNNNNNNNNNNNNNNNNNNNNNNNNNNNNNNNNNNNNNNNNNNNNNNNNNNNNNNNNNNNNNNNNNNNNNNNNNNNNNNNNNNNNNNNNNNNNNNNNNNNNNNNNNNNNNNNNNNNNNNNNNNNNNNNNNNNNNNNNNNNNNNNNNNNNNNNNNNNNNNNNNNNNNNNNNNNNNNNNNNNNNNNNNNNNNNNNNNNNNNNNNNNNNNNNNNNNNNNNNNNNNNNNNNNNNNNNNNNNNNNNNNNNNNNNNNNNNNNNNNNNNNNNNNNNNNNNNNNNNNNNNNNNNNNNNNNNNNNNNNNNNNNNNNNNNNNNNNNNNNNNNNNNNNNNNNNNNNNNNNNNNNNNNNNNNNNNNNNNNNNNNNNNNNNNNNNNNNNNNNNNNNNNNNNNNNNNNNNNNNNNNNNNNNNNNNNNNNNNNNNNNNNNNNNNNNNNNNNNNNNNNNNNNNNNNNNNNNNNNNNNNNNNNNNNNNNNNNNNNNNNNNNNNNNNNNNNNNNNNNNNNNNNNNNNNNNNNNNNNNNNNNNNNNNNNNNNNNNNNNNNNNNNNNNNNNNUCCAUCGAAUCAUGAUGCAGGAUAAAUUCACCUUAGUGAAUUCUCCAUCGAAUCUUGAUGCUACUUCGGGAGCUAAAAAACUAUGUGUUGCUCCCAAAUCGAAAAGGAUGUGGGCGGAUAUUCCACCCACAAGCAAAGUCGCUGACAAUAAUUGACUUUCCCUUCAAUUACUUACUCAACAACUUUAUACUAUUUUUUAUUUAUAUCACCAAUUUACCAAUCAUUUAAAAAUUAUGCAACACUCAAUUGGUUAGGAAAACAAACCUGAAAUCGGACCCUGAGGUGGUCCGGAUGGUCCUGGUAACUCUAAAGCAUAAGCCCUACCAGCAGUGGCUUGACGCUUAGCAGGAGGUAAGGGUAAAGGUGGGUUAACUGGUACAACGGGUUGAGCACUCGUAACAACAGGCUGAGCAAGAUGAGUGUGUGGACAUGAUGUCGCGUACUGUCCUCGCUCUCCACACGUGAAACAAGUGAUGUGAGAUGGUACAGCCGGUUGGAACUGUCCCACGGUCGGACAAUCUCUCCUAACAUGGCCCAGCUGGCCACAAGUGAAACAAGUUGGGGUUCUAGGUCUAGGAUCUCCAGAUCGACCUCCCCGAAAAGCUCUACCUCCCCGUCCUCGCGGCAUAGGAGAAUGUGGCUGAGGCUGACUUUGAACGGAUGGACGUCUAGGUUGUGCAGAAUGGCUAGAAGAAGCUCUCCCAGCAGCAAUGGCCUCCUCCACGUUCACAGCACGCUCAACAAGAUCAGCAACCUAUGAAACUCUACUGCCUCAAGUCUGCUCCUGAUAUAUGGGUUAAGUCCUCGAAGGAACUUACGGAUAAUCAUCAUCUCGUCCUCUCGACCAUAGUGGACAUAUUUCCUGAGACGGGUGAACUCUGCCUCAUACUUCCUAACAGAUAAUCCUCCCUGAACUAGCUCCAUGAAUUUAAUCUCCAAUCGAUCAUGGGCUUCCGGUGGGAAGUACUUUCGAACGAACGCUGUACGGAAGUCAGCCCAACUCAGAUUGAAGUCUCCAAAGUUCCUCUCUACGCAUAACCACCAACUGAUGGCGUCCUUCUCCAGAUAGUAAACAGCCACGUCCUUCUUGAAUUCUACCGGACAACGGGUUGCAGCAAAGUUCUGCUCGAGAUUGUGCAGCCAUGCAUCAGCUUCAAAGGGAUCAGUACCUCCCUGGUAACGCUUCGUCCCCAAGUUCUUCAUAAUCAUGACUAUCUUCAGAAAGUCCGGAUGAGAAGUGGUAGGUACUGGAGCUGGCUGAGUACGCUGUGCUUCACGCUGUGCAUUCAAUGCUUGAUGUUGCAAAUUCACCAUCUCAGCCAUCAGUUCUAGAAGUGCUAUUAUAGCUGGAUCAGUUGGCGCUGGUUGAGGUUGUGCUGCCGGAAUAGGUGCGGUAGGGGCCGGUGGAAUAUGAGCGGCAGGAGAUGCAGGAGCUGCGUAAUGAUCUCCGUGCACUGGACUAUCGUGUACCACAUCCACCUCGAUGUCCAUAAAAUACGGGUCUGGAGACAAUGGCAUGUGCACCGGUGUCUGAUUAUAUGACCCUUCAGACGGGUCAGUCUCAAAGCUAGAUCCCGAAGGUGUAGCAUCAAAGCUAGCAGUCGGAAGUGGUGUCGGAGUAGAUGGCGGCGAAGAGUCUGAAGAUGAUGAAAUCGAAAUUGGGAGGUUUGGACCUCCACGGCGUCCAAAGAGUGCUCUUCUCGGUGGCAUCUGCAACGAAAGAUCAUGGUAAGUUUCUACCCAGGUCUAUCUAUUUCUAAAAGAAGGAACAAACCAGCAUAUCCUAAUCAUCCUUGCGACACAUUUUCGACUCGAAAAUUAUUUGAAACAAGUCCCAUUCAAGCAUCGUAUAACCAUGCUCUGAUACCACCUUUGUGAUACUGAUUUUGGACAACUGAUGCACCAUGUCUGUGACACCCCCGAUCGUAGAUAACCGGAAAUGACACGGUCGAUGUUCCCUGAUGGUCGACCCGAGGUUCUCGAAAUAAAUCCGAUCACCUUAGACCAACAACCAAAGAACACAGACACUCCUAUCAGAUAUUACUCUAGGCUUUUCAACCCGAACAACAACCAAAGAACACAGACACUCCUAUCGGAUAUUACUCUAGGCUUUUCAACCCGAUAAAGCAAUAUUCGAUAGUUAGUUCGUCCCGGACAAGGACUAAUAUCAUAUGAGAACUCGUGAUUUAUAAACAUCUUUUAUACAUUAUUUAUUUACUUUAAACAUCUUACAAAGUGUUAUAGUUUACCCUACGGCCUAUCGCCCAACAACGUUUUAAGUAAAUAUACAUCAAAAGGUACGUUGCAAGGACAACAAAAUACUACCGCUGGUUGGCCGCUCCUUCCGUCCAAAAGAUUUAAGUGUCUCCCGCCUAAGGUUUACCUGCACACACAAAUGAGUCAUGAGCAACUAGUUUACUCAGUGAAUCUAGAAUCACAACACAAUCAAUAACAAUCAAGCAAUUAUCAAAUGCAUAUACAUGAUCAUGCAAGUACUAGUACUAUACUUUAAUAUCGAUCAUCAUUGUGAAUUCUUAUUUUAAACAUCACUUCCACAACACCCGCCCGUUACCAUACUCAUAUAAUACAAUAUAUAUACUAGACCCGAGAAACCACUAAGGCUAACCGAGACUAGUGAGUUAGCAUCACCAUCAUUGUCGAAUGUCCGGUAUGGACAAUCCGACACUGCAUCGUCAUGCAGUACACGGUCUCCAGGGAGCUACCCCAUCAUCGUGUCUUCAUGACCUUGUUCCAUUCGCAGGACCAAGUCACGGUAAUGCGGGGGCUUUAGGGAUAGUGAAUAUAACAAGAUUUCACAUGAUUUUACUUCCAUAAUUAUUCCAAAAUUAAUCCUUAAUUAAUUAUAAUUAACUCUUAACUAAUCCUAGAUUAAUCCUUAAUUAAUCUCAUAUUAAUCCUUAAUUAAUCCAAGAUUAGUACUUAAUUAAUCCAAGAUUAGUACUCAAUUAAUCUCAGAUUAAUUUUCAAUUAAACCAAGAUUAAUUCUUAAUUAAACCAUGAUUAAUCCAUAAUCAAAACCAUAAUUAUUUCAUAGUUAAGAUUAGUACUUGAGAACAAUUACUAAGAUUAGGAUUAACCUCACUUUAAAAUUAUUCAUUAAGUGUAAGUGUUUACCAUGAGUAAACACAACACAAUUCUUAAAUAUUCAGACACUUUACUAACUUAAUCAAGGACUCAUUCAUGAUCUAUCUCAACAUCUGUCUAGACUCACCUAAAGAACUGUCUUGAAACUGGCUUGGACAAGACUUAAGUUCCUCUUGAACAAAGCUGAAUGGACCUGAGAAUGGACAAGGUUCUGAUCGGUUACUAUGGUUAACUCAACAACUCAUCUGACUCACUUGAUUGUGGCUUACCAAGAGACUGAAUGGAUAGGAUGGGACUAGCAAAGCUCCACACCUUAGCUGAUCAAAACAGGGUAAGGUUGGGUUCAGAACAUCAACAAUCCGACAGUUCGGUUCAAGCUAAACAACUUAAAUCAAAUCAGUUCAAGCUCGGUUCCUUUCAUACCAGAUCAGAUCAGUUCAGUUCUAUUCAGUUAACAACAGUUCAAGACAAGAUCAGACUGAGUUUAGUUUCGUUUCUCCAAUCAAUCCAUAACAGCUUUGCAAACUGUUUUAGGAGAUGGAUUCAAACCGAAACUAAACAAGAACUGAACUGUAUCAUAACUUAUACAACUGAUCCAACCAAGAUCUAAGGUAGCCAUGAACUGUUAUGAUCAGAUACUGACUGAGGCUAGGAGACCAAAGCUUACCAAGAUGAACUAAAGGACUAGAUGGCCUCAGCUGAUCCUCUUCUCCAUGGUAAGCUUGCAGCUAAACUGAUCAAAGAGAAAGAUCAAGGCCUGGAUCCUCUUCUCCAUGGUAAGCUUGCAGCUGAACUGAUCAAAGAGAAAGAUCAAGGCCUUAUCAUGAUCUGAACUGAACUAGGUCUAGGUUUUUAUUUUAAAAUCUCACCUUCUGAUCUUUCUCAAAGCAACAGACUGGUCUAGGGUUGAAGAUUAGAUCACCAAGAAUUGUUUCUUGAUUUAUUUUCCUAAUUUUCUCACUGAUUUUUUUGUUCUUCUUUCUCUCUUUCUCUCUGAAAUUCUCUAGGUUUUUCUGUAGGUUUCAGAACGUGGGAAGCAGCUGGAGGAGGGUUAAAUACAAGCUGUGGUUGCUUCACCUGAGGGUUUAGCUCAUAACAAAGCUUGGCUGAGAGCAGACAGCUGGCAACCUGUUUCAUCAUCUACACCAUACUGUCCUUUCCCUCCCAUGAAGUAGUUUCCAGCCAAUCAUAAAUAAUUAAAGGAGGAAGCAAGCACACAGGCAGCUUGUGAUUGUCAUGUGCCAUUUACUGAAGAAGCUAAGCAAGCAGGCAGGUGCAAGUCAUGUGAUUAAAGACUGAGCAAGCAGGCUGGUGGAAGACAUGAGUCUGGUCCAAAAUUACUUGUAGCAGUUGGUUGAUAAUUUCCAAUAAUUUUUAACUAAAUAUUCCUUGUCUUUGGCUCUCGUCUUGUUCUCGGAAAAUCUCUUCCAGUUUAAUAAAAAUUCGACCAAAAUAUUUAAAACUCGACCAAACUAUCAAGUGAAGGUCUUUCAACCACAAGACAGUCCCGUCGAGAAAUUAAUCUACCGGGUCGAUUUUUAUUUUUAUUAAUCAUGGUCGAGCCAACUAAAAACUGGUUGAGCGGGAUUUUUCUCUACCAAAAAUUUAUUGGCUCGUGAGGGUUAUUACACUCUUCCCCCCUUAAAAGAAUUCGUCCCGAAUUCUCAAAAUACAAGUGUACACUCUUUACUGGACGACUGGGGUAUCUGAGAAGAGUUCUAGGUAAUCAGCUCGGAACUUAUCUUCAUCCUUCCAUGUUAUAACAACUCUCUGUCACUUUUCCCAAAAUACUUAAACUUGCGAAAUUUCCCUAUUCUUCUAUUUAUUGAAACGAUGUUCGCCUAUUCGCAAAGGACCUUCAGGAUAGGUGAGGUUAGGUUGCAAGUUCUCUGGUCGCUGCGGCUCGACCAUAUUCGGAUCUGGUAUAUGCUUACAUAGCAUCGAUACAUGAAAUACCGGAUGCAUAGGCAUAUCGGGUGGAAGUUCUAGUCUAUAGGCUAGUUCUCCAACUCUAGCGACAAUUCGGUAUGGUGCCUUUGCUAUUGCAGCGGAUCCGGGUUCUAAGGUUAUACUAAAGGCGUUACUCCUAGACGGCGACAAUCCCUCUAAUGCCUUAAACACGUCCUCAUAUUCUCUGACUACUGGUAUUUCUUCCAUGUUCUGCUCUUUCUCGUCUUCUACUGGUCCAACAACUAAGGUCACUAAGUAUACUUCUUCACCCUUCUCCAAAAGGUUUUCAAUUCUCAGUGCUAACACUAAUGACGCUCCAACACUUGGUACUAUGCCAUGGUAAGCUAAAGGGGGGGGGGUUGGGUAUCUCUCUCGAAAACAAUCUUCCUUCGACCACAAUCAAGGUGAGCUCGGUAACUUGACAGCUAAUCACCUUCAGUUUCAAGAACUUGAUCUCCAGGAGAACGGGAAUCGAUAAAUUCACCUUAGUGAAUUCUCCAUCGAAUCAUGAUGCUACUUCGGGAGCUAAAAAACUAUGUGUUGCUCCCAAAUCGAAAAGGAUGUGGGCGGAUAUUCCACCCACAAGCAAAGUCGCUGACAAUAAUUGACUUUCCCUUCAAUUACUUACUCAACAACUUUAUACUAUUUUUUAUUUAUAUCACCAAUUUACCAAUCAUUUAAAAAUUAUGCAACACUCAAUUGGUUAGGAAAACAAACCUGAAAUCGGACCCUGAGGUGGUCCGGAUGGUCCUGGUAACUCUAAAGCAUAAGCCCUACCAGCAGUGGCUUGACGCUUAGCAGGAGGUAAGGGUAAAGGUGGGUUAACUGGUACAACGGGUUGAGCACUCGUAACAACAGGCUGAGCAAGAUGAGUGUGUGGACAUGAUGUCGCGUAAUGUCCUCGCUCUUCACACGUGAAACAAGUGAUGUGAGAUGGUACAGCCGGUUGGAACUGUCCCACGGUCGGACAAUCUCUCCUAACAUGGCCCAGCUGGCCACAAGUGAAACAAGUUGGGGUUCUAGGUCUAGGAUCUCCAGAUCGACCUCCCCAAAAAGCUCUACCUCCCCGUCCUCGCGGCAUAGGAGAAUGUGGCUGAGGCUGACUUUGAACGGAUGGACGUCUAGGUUGUGCAGAAUGGCUAGAAGAAGCUCUCUCAGCAGCAAUGGCCUCCUCCACGUUCACAGCACGCUCAACAAGAUCAGCAAGCCUAUGAAACUCUACUGCCUCAAGUCUGCUCCUGAUAUAUGGGUUAAGUCCUCGAAGGAACUUACGGAUAAUCAUCAUCUCGUCCUCUCGACCAUAGUGGACAUAUUUCCUGAGACGGGUGAACUCUGCCUCAUACUUCCUAACAGAUAAUCCUCCCUGAACUAGCUCCAUGAAUUUAAUCUCCAAUCGAUCACGGGCUUCCGGUGGGAAGUACUUUCGAACGAACACUGUACGGAAGUCAGCCCAACUCAGAUUGAAGUCUCCAAAGUUCCUCUCUACGCAUAACCACCAACUGAUGGCGUCCUUCUCCAGAUAGUAAACAGCCACGUCCUUCUUGAAUUCUACCGGACAACGGGUUGCAGCAAAGUUCUGCUCGAGAUUGUGCAGCCAUGCAUCAGCUUCAAAGGGAUCAGUACCUCCCUGGUAACGCUUCGUCCCCAAGUUCUUCAUAAUCAUGACUAUCUUCAGAAAGUCCGGAUGAGAAGUGGUAGGUACUGGAGCUGGCUGAGUACGCUGUGCUUCACGCUGUGCAUUCAAUGCUUGAUGUUGCAAAUUCACCAUCUCAGCCAUCAGUUCUAGAAGUGCUAUUAUAGCUGGAUCAGUUGGCGCUGGUUGAGGUUGUGCUGCCGGAAUAGGUGCGGCAGGGGCCGGUGGAAUAUGAGCGGCAGGAGAUGCAGGAGCUGCGUAAUGAUCUCCGUGCACUGGACUAUCGUGUACCACAUCCACCUCGAUGUCCAUAAAAUACGGGUCUGGAGACAAUGGCAUGUGCACAGGUGUCUGAUUAUAUGACCCUUCAGACGGGUCAGUCUCAAAGCUAGAUCCCGAAGGUGUAGCAUCAAAGCUAGCAGUCGGAAGUGGCGUCGGAGUAGAUGGCGGCGACGAGUCUGAAGAUGAUGAAAUCGAAAUUGGGAGGUUUGGACCUCCACGGCGUCCAAAGAGUGCUCUUCUCGGUGGCAUCUGCAACGAAAGAUCAUGGUAAGUUUCUACCCAGAUCUAUCUAUUUCUAAAAGAAGGAACAAACCAGCAUAUCCUAAUUAUCCUUGCGACACAUUUUCGACUCGAAAAUUAUUUGAAACAAGUCCCAUUCAAGCAUCGUAUAACCAUGCUCUGAUCCCACCUUUGUGACACCCCCGAUCGUAGAUAACCGGAAAUGACACGGUCGAUGUUCCCUGAUGGUCGACCCGAGGUUCUCGAAAUAAAUCCGAUCACCUUAGACCAACAACCAAAGAACACAGACACUCCUAUCGGAUAUUACUCUAGGCUUUUCAACCCGAUAAAGCAAUAUUCGAUAGUUAGUUCGUCCCGGACAAGGACUAAUAUCAUAUGAGAACUCGUGAUUUAUAAACAUCUUUUAUACAUUAUUUAUUUACUUUAAACAUCUUACAAACUGUUAUAGUUUACCCUACGGCCUAUCGCCCAACAACGUUUUAAGUAAAUAUACAUCAAAACGUACGUUGCAAGGACAACAAAAUACUACCGCUGGUUGGCCGCUCCUUCCGUCCAAAAGAUUUAAGUGUCUCCCGCCUAAGGUUUACCUGCACACACAAAUGAGUCAUGAGCAACUAGUUUACUCAGUGAAUCUAGAAUCACAACACAAUCAAUAACAAUCAAGCAAUUAUCAAUGCAUAUACAUGAUCAUGCAAGUACUAGUACUAUACUUUAAUAUCGAUCAUCAUUGUGAAUUCUUAUUUUAAACAUCACUUCCACAACACCCGCCCGUUACCAUACUCAUAUAAUACAAUAUAUAUAUACUAGACCCGAGAAACCACUAAGGCUAACCGAGACUAGUGAGUUAGCAUCACCAUCAUUGUCGAAUGUCCGGUAUGGACAAUCCGACACUGCAUCGUCAUGCAGUACACGGUCUCCAGGGAGCUACCCCAUCAUCGUGUCUUCAUGACCUUGUUCCGUUCGCAGGACCAAGUCACGGUAAUGCGGGGGCUUUAGGGAUAGUGAAUAUAACAAGACUUCACAUGAUUUUACUUCCAUAAUUAUUCCAAAAUUAAUCCUUAACUAAUUAUAAUUAAAUCUUAACUAAUCCUAGAUUAAUCCUUAAUUAAUCUCAUAUUAAUCCUUAAUUAAUCCAAGAUUAGUACUUAAUUAAUCCAAGAUUUGUACUCAAUUAAUCUCAGAUUAAUUUUCAAUUAAACCAAGAUUAAUUCUUAAUUAAACCAUGAUUAAUCCAUAAUCAAAACCAUGAUUAUUUCAUAGUUAAGAUUAGUACUUGAGAACAAGUACUAAGAUUAGGAUUAACCUCACUUUAAAAUUAUUCAUUAAGUGUAAGUGUUUACCAUGAGUAAACACAACACAAUUCUUAAAUAUUCAGACACUUUACUAACUUAAUCAAGGACUCAUUCAUGAUCUAUCUCAACAUCUGUCUAGACUCACCUAAAGAACAGUCUUGAAACUGGCUUGGACAAGACUUAAGUUCCUCUUGAACAAAGCUGAAUGGACCUGAGAAUGGACAAGGUUCUGAUCGGUUACUAUGGUUAACUCAACAACUCAUCUGACUCACUUGAUUGUGGCUUACCAAGAGACUGAAUGGAUAGGAUGGGACUAGCAAAGCUCCACACCUUAGCUGAUCAAAACAGGGUAAGGUUGGGUUCAGAACAUCAACAAUCCGACAGUUCGGUUCAAGCUAAACAACUUAAAUCAAAUCAGUUCAAGCUCGGUUCCUUUCAUACCAGAUCAGAUCAGUUCAGUUCUAUUCAGUUAACAACAGUUCAAGACAAGAUCAGACUGAGUUUAGUUUCGUUUCUCCAAUCAAUCCAUAACAGCUUAGCAAACUGUUUUAGGAGAUGGAUUCAAACCGAAACUAAACAAGAACUGAACUGUAUCAUAACUUAUACAACUGAUCCGACCAAGAUCUAAGGUAGCCAUGAACUGUUCUGAUCAGAUACUGACUGAGGCUAGGAGACCAAAGCUUACCAAGAUGAACUAAAGGACUAGAUGGCCUCAGCUGAUCCUCUUCUCCAUGGUAAGCUUGCAGCUGAACUGAUCAAAGAGAAAGAUCAAGGCCUGAUCAUGAUCUGAACUGAACUAGGUCUAGGUUUUUAUUUUAAAAUCUCACCUUCUGAUAUUUCUCAAAGCAACAGACUGGUCAAGGGUUGAAGAUUAGAUCACCAAGAAUUGUUUCUUGAUUUAUUUUCCUAAUUUUCUCACUGAUUUUUCUGUUCUUCUUUCUCUCUUUCUCUCUGAAAUUCUCUAGGUUUUUCUGUAGGUUUCAGAACGUGGGAAGCAGCUGGAGGAGGGUUAAAUACAAGCUGUGGUUGCUUCACCUGAGGGUUUAGCUCAUAACAAAGCUUGGCUGAGAGCAGACAGCUGGCAACCUGUUUCAUCAUCUACACCAUACUGUCCUUUCCCUCCCAUGAAGUAGUUUCCAGCCAAUCAUAAAUAAUUAAAGGAGGAAGCAAGCACACAGGCAGCUUGUGAUUGUCAUGUGCCAUUUACUGAAGAAGCUAAGCAAGCAGGCAGGUGCAAGUCAUGUGAUUAAAGACUGAGCAAGCAGGCUGGUGGAAGACAUGAGUCUGGUCCAAAAUUACUUGUAGCAGUUGGUUGAUAAUUUCCAAUAAUUUUUAACUAAAUAUUCCUUGUCUUUGGCUCUCGUCUUGUUCUCGGAAAAUCUCUUCCAGUUUAAUAAAAAUUCGACCAAAAUAUUUAAGACUCGACCAAACUAUCAAGUGAAGGUCUUUCAACCACAAGACAGUCCCGUCGAGAAAUUAAUCUACCGGGUCGAUUUUUAUUUUUAUUAAUCAUGGUCGAACCAACUAAAAACUGGUUGAGCGGGAUUUUUCUCUACCAAAAAUUUAUUGGCUCGUGAGGGUUAUUACACUCUUCCCCCCUUAAAAGAAUUCGUCCCGAAUUCUCAAAAUACAAGUGUACACCUUUUACUGGACGACUGGGGUAUCUGAGGAGAGUUCUAGGUAAUCAGCUCGGAACUUAUCUUCAUCCUUCCAUGUUAUAACAACUCUCUGUCACUUUUCCCAAAAUACUUAAACUUGCGAAAUUUCCCUAUUCUUCUAUUUAUUGAAACGAUGUUCGCCUAUUCGCAAAGGACCUUCAGGAUAGGUGAGGUUAGGUUGCAAGUUCUCUGGUCGCUGCGGCUCGACCAUAUUCGGAUCUGGUAUAUGCUUACAUAGCAUCGAUACAUGAAAUACCGGAUGCAUAGGCAUAUCAGGUGGAAGUUCUAGUCUAUAGGCUAGUUCUCCAACUCUAGCGACAAUUCGGUAUGGUGCCUUUGCUAUUGCAGCGGAUCCGGGUUCUAAGGUUAUACUAAAGGCGUUACUCCUAGACGGCGACAAUCCCUCUAAUGCCUUAAACACGUCCUCAUAUUCUCUGACUACUGGUAUUUCUUCCAUGUUCUGCUCUUUCUCGUCUUCUACUGGUCCAACAACUAAGGUCACUAAGUAUACUUCUUCACCCUUCUCCAAAAGGUUUUCAAUUCUCAGUGCUAACACUAAUGACACUCCAACACUUGGUACUAUGCCAUGGUAAGCUAAAGGGGGUUGGGUAUCUCUCUCGAAAACAAUCUUCCUUCGACCACAAUCAAGGUUAGCUCGGUAACUUGACAGCCAAUCACCUUCAGUUUCAAGAACUUGAUCUCCAGGAGAACGGGAAUGGAUAAAUUCACCUUAGUGAAUUCUCCAUCGAAUCAUGAUGCUACUUCGGGAGCUACAAAACUAUGUGUUGCUCCCAAAUCGAAAAGGAUGUGGGCGGAUAUUCCACCCACAAGCAAAGUCGCUGACAAUAAUUGACUUUCCCUUCAAUUACUUACUCAACAACUUUAUACUAUUUUUUAUUUAUAUCACCAAUUUACCAAUCAUUUAAAAAUUAUGCAACACUCAAUUGGUUUGGAAAACAAACCUGAAAUCGGACCCUGAGGUGGUCCGGAUGGUCCUGGUAACUCUAAAGCAUAAGCCCUACCAGCAGUGGCUUGACGCUUAGCAGGAGGUAAGGGUAAAGGUGGGUUAACUGGUACAACGGGUUGAGCACUCGUAACAACAGGCUGAGCAAGAUGAGUGUGUGGACAUGAUGUCGCGUAAUGUCCUCGCUCUCCACACGUGAAACAAGUGAUGUGAGAUGGUACAGCCGGUUGGAACUGUCCCACGGUCGGACAAUCUCUCCUAACAUGGCCCAGCUGGCCACAAGUGAAACAAGUUGGGGUUCUAGGUCUAGGAUCUCCAGAUCGACCUCCCCGAAAAGCUCUACCUCCCCGUCCUCGCGGCAUAGGAGAAUGUGGCUGAGGCUGACUUUGAACGGAUGGACGUCUAGGUUGUGCAGAAUGGCUAGAAGAAGCUCUCUCAGCAGCAAUGGCCUCCUCCACGUUCACAGCACGCUCAACAAGAUCAGCAAGCCUAUGAAACUCUACUGCCUCAAGUCUGCUCCUGAUAUAUGGGUUAAGUCCUCGAAGGAACUUACGGAUAAUCAUCAUCUCGUCCUCUCGACCAUAGUGGACAUAUUUCCUGAGACGGGUGAACUCUGCCUCAUACUUCCUAACAGAUAAUCCUCCCUGAACUAGCUCCAUGAAUUUAAUCUCCAAUCGAUCAUGGGCUUCCGGUGGGAAGUACUUUCGAACGAACACUGUACGGAAGUCAGCCCAACUCAGAUUGAAGUCUCCAAAGUUCCUCUCUACGCAUAACCACCAACUGAUGGCGUCCUUCUCCAGAUAGUAAACAGCCACGUCCUUCUUGAAUUCUACCGGACAACGGGUUGCAGCAAAGUUCUGCUCGAGAUUGUGCAGCCAUGCAUCAGCUUCAAAGGGAUCAGUACCUCCCUGGUAACGCUUUGUCCCCAAGUUCUUCAUAAUCAUGACUAUCUUCAGAAAGUCCGGAUGAGAAGUGGUAGGUACUGGAGCUGGCUGAGUACGCUGUGCUUCACGCUGUGCAUUCAAUGCUUGAUGUUGCAAAUUCACCAUCUCAGCCAUCAGUUCUAGAAGUGCUAUUAUAGCUGGAUCAGUUGGCGCUGGUUGAGGUUGUGCUGCCGGAAUAGGUGCGGCAGGGGCCGGUGGAAUAUGAGCGGCAGGAGAUGCAGGAGCUGCGUAAUGAUCUCCGUGCACUGGACUAUCGUGUACCACAUCCACCUCGAUGUCCAUAAAAUACGGGUCUGGAGACAAUGGCAUGUGCACAGGUGUCUGAUUAUAUGACCCUUCAGACGGGUCAGUCUCAAAGCUAGAUCCCGAAGGUGUAGCAUCAAAGCUAGCAGUCGGAAGUGGUGUCGGAGUAGAUGGCGGCGAAGAGUCUGAAGAUGAUGAAAUCGAAAUUGGGAGGUUUGGACCUCCACGGCGUUCAAAUAGUGCUCUUCUCGGUGGCAUCUGCAACGAAAGAUCAUGGUAAGUUUCUACCCAGGUCUAUCUAUUUCUAAAAGAAGGAACAAACCAGCAUAUCCUAAUUAUCCUUGCGACACAUUUUCGACUCGAAAAUUAUUUGAAACAAGUCCCAUUCAAGCAUCGUAUAACCAUGCUCUGAUACCACCUUUGUGACACCCCCGAUCGUAGAUAACCGGAAAUGACACGGUCGAUGUUCCCUGAUGGUCGACCCGAGGUUCUCGAAAUAAAUCCGAUCACCUUAGACCAACAACCAAAGAACACAGACACUCCUAUCGGAUAUUACUCUAGGCUUUUCAACCCGAUAAAGCAAUAUUCGAUAGUUAGUUCGUCCCGGACAAGGACUAAUAUCAUAUGAGAACUCGUGAUUUAUAAACAUCUUUUAUACAUUAUUUAUUUACUUUAAACAUCUUACAAACUGUUAUAGUUUACCCUACGGCCUAUCGCCCAACAACGUUUUAAGUAAAUAUACAUCAAAACGUACGUUGCAAGGACAACAAAAUACUACCGCUGGUUGGCCGCUCCUUCCGUCCAAAAGAUUUAAGUGUCUCCCGCCUAAGGUUUACCUGCACACACAAAUGAGUCAUGAGCAACUAGUUUACUCAGUGAAUCUAGAAUCACAACACAAUCAAUAACAAUCAAGCAAUUAUCAAUGCAUAUACAUGAUCAUGCAAGUACUAGUACUAUACUUUAAUAUCGAUCAUCAUUGUGAAUUCUUAUUUUAAACAUCACUUCCACAACACCCGCCCGUUACCAUACUCAUAUAAUACAAUAUAUAUAUACUAGACCCGAGAAACCACUAAGGCUAACCGAGACUAGUGAGUUAGCAUCACCAUCAUUGUCGAAUGUCCGGUAUGGACAAUCCGACACUGCAUCGUCAUGCAGUACACGGUCUCCAGGGAGCUACCCCAUCAUCGUGUCUUCAUGACCUUGUUCCGUUCGCAGGACCAAGUCACGGUAAUGCGGGGGCUUUAGGGAUAGUGAAUAUAACAAGACUUCACAUGAUUUUACUUCCAUAAUUAUUCCAAAAUUAAUCCUUAACUAAUUAUAAUUAAAUCUUAACUAAUCCUAGAUUAAUCCUUAAUUAAUCUCAUAUUAAUCCUUAAUUAAUCCAAGAUUAGUACUUAAUUAAUCCAAGAUUUGUACUCAAUUAAUCUCAGAUUAAUUUUCAAUUAAACCAAGAUUAAUUCUUAAUUAAACCAUGAUUAAUCCAUAAUCAAAACCAUGAUUAUUUCAUAGUUAAGAUUAGUACUUGAGAACAAGUACUAAGAUUAGGAUUAACCUCACUUUAAAAUUAUUCAUUAAGUGUAAGUGUUUACCAUGAGUAAACACAACACAAUUCUUAAAUAUUCAGACACUUUACUAACUUAAUCAAGGACUCAUUCAUGAUCUAUCUCAACAUCUGUCUAGACUCACCUAAAGAACAGUCUUGAAACUGGCUUGGACAAGACUUAAGUUCCUCUUGAACAAAGCUGAAUGGACCUGAGAAUGGACAAGGUUCUGAUCGGUUACUAUGGUUAACUCAACAACUCAUCUGACUCACUUGAUUGUGGCUUACCAAGAGACUGAAUGGAUAGGAUGGGACUAGCAAAGCUCCACACCUUAGCUGAUCAAAACAGGGUAAGGUUGGGUUCAGAACAUCAACAAUCCGACAGUUCGGUUCAAGCUAAACAACUUAAAUCAAAUCAGUUCAAGCUCGGUUCCUUUCAUACCAGAUCAGAUCAGUUCAGUUCUAUUCAGUUAACAACAGUUCAAGACAAGAUCAGACUGAGUUUAGUUUCGUUUCUCCAAUCAAUCCAUAACAGCUUAGCAAACUGUUUUAGGAGAUGGAUUCAAACCGAAACUAAACAAGAACUGAACUGUAUCAUAACUUAUACAACUGAUCCGACCAAGAUCUAAGGUAGCCAUGAACUGUUCUGAUCAGAUACUGACUGAGGCUAGGAGACCAAAGCUUACCAAGAUGAACUAAAGGACUAGAUGGCCUCAGCUGAUCCUCUUCUCCAUGGUAAGCUUGCAGCUGAACUGAUCAAAGAGAAAGAUCAAGGCCUGAUCAUGAUCUGAACUGAACUAGGUCUAGGUUUUUAUUUUAAAAUCUCACCUUCUGAUAUUUCUCAAAGCAACAGACUGGUCAAGGGUUGAAGAUUAGAUCACCAAGAAUUGUUUCUUGAUUUAUUUUCCUAAUUUUCUCACUGAUUUUUCUGUUCUUCUUUCGCUCUUUCUCUCUGAAAUUCUCUAGGUUUUUCUGUAGGUUUCAGAACGUGGGAAGCAGCUGGAGGAGGGUUAAAUACAAGCUGUGGUUGCUUCACCUGAGGGUUUAGCUCAUAACAAAGCUUGGCUGAGAGCAGACAGCUGGCAACCUGUUUCAUCAUCUACACCAUACUGUCCUUUCCCUCCCAUGAAGUAGUUUCCAGCCAAUCAUAAAUAAUUAAAGGAGGAAGCAAGCACACAGGCAGCUUGUGAUUGUCAUGUGCCAUUUACUGAAGAAGCUAAGCAAGCAGGCAGGUGCAAGUCAUGUGAUUAAAGACUGAGCAAGCAGGCUGGUGGAAGACAUGAGUCUGGUCCAAAAUUACUUGUAGCAGUUGGUUGAUAAUUUCCAAUAAUUUUUAACUAAAUAUUCCUUGUCUUUGGCUCUCGUCUUGUUCUCGGAAAAUCUCUUCCAGUUUAAUAAAAAUUCGACCAAAAUAUUUAAGACUCGACCAAACUAUCAAGUGAAGGUCUUUCAACCACAAGACAGUCCCGUCGAGAAAUUAAUCUACCGGGUCGAUUUUUAUUUUUAUUAAUCAUGGUCGAACCAACUAAAAACUGGUUGAGCGGGAUUUUUCUCUACCAAAAAUUUAUUGGCUCGUGAGGGUUAUUACACUCUUCCCCCCUUAAAAGAAUUCGUCCCGAAUUCUCAAAAUACAAGUGUACACCUUUUACUGGACGACUGGGGUAUCUGAGGAGAGUUCUAGGUAAUCAGCUCGGAACUUAUCUUCAUCCUUCCAUGUUAUAACAACUCUCUGUCACUUUUCCCAAAAUACUUAAACUUGCGAAAUUUCCCUAUUCUUCUAUUUAUUGAAACGAUGUUCGCCUAUUCGCAAAGGACCUUCAGGAUAGGUGAGGUUAGGUUGCAAGUUCUCUGGUCGCUGCGGCUCGACCAUAUUCGGAUCUGGUAUAUGCUUACAUAGCAUCGAUACAUGAAAUACCGGAUGCAUAGGCAUAUCAGGUGGAAGUUCUAGUCUAUAGGCUAGUUCUCCAACUCUAGCGACAAUUCGGUAUGGUGCCUUUGCUAUUGCAGCGGAUCCGGGUUCUAAGGUUAUACUAAAGGCGUUACUCCUAGACGGCGACAAUCCCUCUAAUGCCUUAAACACGUCCUCAUAUUCUCUGACUACUGGUAUUUCUUCCAUGUUCUGCUCUUUCUCGUCUUCUACUGGUCCAACAACUAAGGUCACUAAGUAUACUUCUUCACCCUUCUCCAAAAGGUUUUCAAUUCUCAGUGCUAACACUAAUGACACUCCAACACUUGGUACUAUGCCAUGGUAAGCUAAAGGGGGUUGGGUAUCUCUCUCGAAAACAAUCUUCCUUCGACCACAAUCAAGGUUAGCUCGGUAACUUGACAGCCAAUCACCUUCAGUUUCAAGAACUUGAUCUCCAGGAGAACGGGAAUGGAUAAAUUCACCUUAGUGAAUUCUCCAUCGAAUCAUGAUGCUACUUCGGGAGCUACAAAACUAUGUGUUGCUCCCAAAUCGAAAAGGAUGUGGGCGGAUAUUCCACCCACAAGCAAAGUCGCUGACAAUAAUUGACUUUCCCUUCAAUUACUUACUCAACAACUUUAUACUAUUUUUUAUUUAUAUCACCAAUUUACCAAUCAUUUAAAAAUUAUGCAACACUCAAUUGGUUUGGAAAACAAACCUGAAAUCGGACCCUGAGGUGGUCCGGAUGGUCCUGGUAACUCUAAAGCAUAAGCCCUACCAGCAGUGGCUUGACGCUUAGCAGGAGGUAAGGGUAAAGGUGGGUUAACUGGUACAACGGGUUGAGCACUCGUAACAACAGGCUGAGCAAGAUGAGUGUGUGGACAUGAUGUCGCGUAAUGUCCUCGCUCUCCACACGUGAAACAAGUGAUGUGAGAUGGUACAGCCGGUUGGAACUGUCCCACGGUCGGACAAUCUCUCCUAACAUGGCCCAGCUGGCCACAAGUGAAACAAGUUGGGGUUCUAGGUCUAGGAUCUCCAGAUCGACCUCCCCGAAAAGCUCUACCUCCCCGUCCUCGCGGCAUAGGAGAAUGUGGCUGAGGCUGACUUUGAACGGAUGGACGUCUAGGUUGUGCAGAAUGGCUAGAAGAAGCUCUCUCAGCAGCAAUGGCCUCCUCCACGUUCACAGCACGCUCAACAAGAUCAGCAAGCCUAUGAAACUCUACUGCCUCAAGUCUGCUCCUGAUAUAUGGGUUAAGUCCUCGAAGGAACUUACGGAUAAUCAUCAUCUCGUCCUCUCGACCAUAGUGGACAUAUUUCCUGAGACGGGUGAACUCUGCCUCAUACUUCCUAACAGAUAAUCCUCCCUGAACUAGCUCCAUGAAUUUAAUCUCCAAUCGAUCAUGGGCUUCCGGUGGGAAGUACUUUCGAACGAACACUGUACGGAAGUCAGCCCAACUCAGAUUGAAGUCUCCAAAGUUCCUCUCUACGCAUAACCACCAACUGAUGGCGUCCUUCUCCAGAUAGUAAACAGCCACGUCCUUCUUGAAUUCUACCGGACAACGGGUUGCAGCAAAGUUCUGCUCGAGAUUGUGCAGCCAUGCAUCAGCUUCAAAGGGAUCAGUACCUCCCUGGUAACGCUUUGUCCCCAAGUUCUUCAUAAUCAUGACUAUCUUCAGAAAGUCCGGAUGAGAAGUGGUAGGUACUGGAGCUGGCUGAGUACGCUGUGCUUCACGCUGUGCAUUCAAUGCUUGAUGUUGCAAAUUCACCAUCUCAGCCAUCAGUUCUAGAAGUGCUAUUAUAGCUGGAUCAGUUGGCGCUGGUUGAGGUUGUGCUGCCGGAAUAGGUGCGGCAGGGGCCGGUGGAAUAUGAGCGGCAGGAGAUGCAGGAGCUGCGUAAUGAUCUCCGUGCACUGGACUAUCGUGUACCACAUCCACCUCGAUGUCCAUAAAAUACGGGUCUGGAGACAAUGGCAUGUGCACAGGUGUCUGAUUAUAUGACCCUUCAGACGGGUCAGUCUCAAAGCUAGAUCCCGAAGGUGUAGCAUCAAAGCUAGCAGUCGGAAGUGGUGUCGGAGUAGAUGGCGGCGAAGAGUCUGAAGAUGAUGAAAUCGAAAUUGGGAGGUUUGGACCUCCACGGCGUUCAAAUAGUGCUCUUCUCGGUGGCAUCUGCAACGAAAGAUCAUGGUAAGUUUCUACCCAGGUCUAUCUAUUUCUAAAAGAAGGAACAAACCAGCAUAUCCUAAUUAUCCUUGCGACACAUUUAUACAUAUCAGCAUGCUGGCCCUUCCCGUGAACUCAUAUCGACUCGAAAAUUAUUUGAAACAAGUCCCAUUCAAGCAUCGUAUAACCAUGCUCUGAUACCACCUUUGUGACACCCCCGAUCGUAGAUAACCGGAAAUGACACGGUCGAUGUUCCCUGAUGGUCGACCCGAGGUUCUCGAAAUAAAUCCGAUCACCUUAGACCAACAACCAAAGAACACAGACACUCCUAUCGGAUAUUACUCUAGGCUUUUCAACCCGAUAAAGCAAUAUUCGAUAGUUAGUUCGUCCCGGACAAGGACUAAUAUCAUAUGAGAACUCGUGAUUUAUAAACAUCUUUUAUACAUUAUUUAUUUACUUUAAACAUCUUACAAACUGUUAUAGUUUACCCUACGGCCUAUCGCCCAACAACGUUUUAAGUAAAUAUACAUCAAAACGUACGUUGCAAGGACAACAAAAUACUACCGCUGGUUGGCCGCUCCUUCCGUCCAAAAGAUUUAAGUGUCUCCCGCCUAAGGUUUACCUGCACACACAAAUGAGUCAUGAGCAACUAGUUUACUCAGUGAAUCUAGAAUCACAACACAAUCAAUAACAAUCAAGCAAUUAUCAAUGCAUAUACAUGAUCAUGCAAGUACUAGUACUAUACUUUAAUAUCGAUCAUCAUUGUGAAUUCUUAUUUUAAACAUCACUUCCACAACACCCGCCCGUUACCAUACUCAUAUAAUACAAUAUAUAUAUACUAGACCCGAGAAACCACUAAGGCUAACCGAGACUAGUGAGUUAGCAUCACCAUCAUUGUCGAAUGUCCGGUAUGGACAAUCCGACACUGCAUCGUCAUGCAGUACACGGUCUCCAGGGAGCUACCCCAUCAUCGUGUCUUCAUGACCUUGUUCCGUUCGCAGGACCAAGUCACGGUAAUGCGGGGGCUUUAGGGAUAGUGAAUAUAACAAGACUUCACAUGAUUUUACUUCCAUAAUUAUUCCAAAAUUAAUCCUUAAUUAAUUAUAAUUAAAUCUUAACUAAUCCUAGAUUAAUCCUUAAUUAAUCUCAUAUUAAUCCUUAAUUAAUCCAAGAUUAGUACUUAAUUAAUCCAAGAUUUGUACUCAAUUAAUCUCAGAUUAAUUUUCAAUUAAACCAAGAUUAAUUCUUAAUUAAACCAUGAUUAAUCCAUAAUCAAAACCAUGAUUAUUUCAUAGUUAAGAUUAGUACUUGAGAACAAGUACUAAGAUUAGGAUUAACCUCACUUUAAAAUUAUUCAUUAAGUGUAAGUGUUUACCAUGAGUAAACACAACACAAUUCUUAAAUAUUCAGACACUUUACUAACUUAAUCAAGGACUCAUUCAUGAUCUAUCUCAACAUCUGUCUAGACUCACCUAAAGAACAGUCUUGAAACUGGCUUGGACAAGACUUAAGUUCCUCUUGAACAAAGCUGAAUGGACCUGAGAAUGGACAAGGUUCUGAUCGGUUACUAUGGUUAACUCAACAACUCAUCUGACUCACUUGAUUGUGGCUUACCAAGAGACUGAAUGGAUAGGAUGGGACUAGCAAAGCUCCACACCUUAGCUGAUCAAAACAGGGUAAGGUUGGGUUCAGAACAUCAACAAUCCGACAGUUCGGUUCAAGCUAAACAACUUAAAUCAAAUCAGUUCAAGCUCGGUUCCUUUCAUACCAGAUCAGAUCAGUUCAGUUCUAUUCAGUUAACAACAGUUCAAGACAAGAUCAGACUGAGUUUAGUUUCGUUUCUCCAAUCAAUCCAUAACAGCUUAGCAAACUGUUUUAGGAGAUGGAUUCAAACCGAAACUAAACAAGAACUGAACUGUAUCAUAACUUAUACAACUGAUCCGACCAAGAUCUAAGGUAGCCAUGAACUGUUCUGAUCAGAUACUGACUGAGGCUAGGAGACCAAAGCUUACCAAGAUGAACUAAAGGACUAGAUGGCCUCAGCUGAUCCUCUUCUCCAUGGUAAGCUUGCAACUGAACUGAUCAAAGAGAAAGAUCAAGGCCUGAUCAUGAUCUGAACUGAACUAGGUCUAGGUUUUUAUUUUAAAAUCUCACCUUCUGAUAUUUCUCAAAGCAACAGACUGGUCAAGGGUUGAAGAUUAGAUCACCAAGAAUUGUUUCUUGAUUUAUUUUCCUAAUUUUCUCACUGAUUUUUCUGUUCUUCUUUCUCUCUUUCUCUCUGAAAUUCUCUAGGUUUUUCUGUAGGUUUCAGAACGUGGGAAGCAGCUGGAGGAGGGUUAAAUACAAGCUGUGGUUGCUUCACCUGAGGGUUUAGCUCAUAACAAAGCUUGGCUGAGAGCAGACAGCUGGCAACCUGUUUCAUCAUCUACACCAUACUGUCCUUUCCCUCCCAUGAAGUAGUUUCCAGCCAAUCAUAAAUAAUUAAAGGAGGAAGCAAGCACACAGGCAGCUUGUGAUUGUCAUGUGCCAUUUACUGAAGAAGCUAAGCAAGCAGGCAGGUGCAAGUCAUGUGAUUAAAGACUGAGCAAGCAGGCUGGUGGAAGACAUGAGUCUGGUCCAAAAUUACUUGUAGCAGUUGGUUGAUAAUUUCCAAUAAUUUUUAACUAAAUAUUCCUUGUCUUUGGCUCUCGUCUUGUUCUCGGAAAAUCUCUUCCAGUUUAAUAAAAAUUCGACCAAAAUAUUUAAGACUCGACCAAACUAUCAAGUGAAGGUCUUUCAACCACAAGACAGUCCCGUCGAGAAAUUAAUCUACCGGGUCGAUUUUUAUUUUUAUUAAUCAUGGUCGAACCAACUAAAAACUGGUUGAGCGGGAUUUUUCUCUACCAAAAAUUUAUUGGCUCGUGAGGGUUAUUACACUCUUCCCCCCUUAAAAGAAUUCGUCCCGAAUUCUCAAAAUACAAGUGUACACUCUUUACUGGACGACUGGGGUAUCUGAGAAGAGUUCUAGGUAAUCAGCUCGGAACUUAUCUUCAUCCUUCCAUGUUAUAACAACUCUCUGUCACUUUUCCCAAAAUACUUAAACUUGCGAAAUUUCCCUAUUCUUCUAUUUAUUGAAACGAUGUUCGCCUAUUCGCAAAGGACCUUCAGGAUAGGUGAGGUUAGGUUGCAAGUUCUCUGGUCGCUGCGGCUCGACCAUAUUCGGAUCUGGUAUAUGCUUACAUAGCAUCGAUACAUGAAAUACCGGAUGCAUAGGCAUAUCGGGUGGAAGUUCUAGUCUAUAGGCUAGUUCUCCAACUCUAGCGACAAUUCGGUAUGGUGCCUUUGCUAUUGCAGCGGAUCCGGGUUCUAAGGUUAUACUAAAGGCGUUACUCCUAGACGGCGACAAUCCCUCUAAUGCCUUAAACACGUCCUCAUAUUCUCUGACUACUGGUAUUUCUUCCAUGUUCUGCUCUUUCUCGUCUUCUACUGGUCCAACAACUAAGGUCACUAAGUAUACUUCUUCACCCUUCUCCAAAAGGUUUUCAAUUCUCAGUGCUAACACUAAUGACGCUCCAACACUUGGUACUAUGCCAUGGUAAGCUAAAGGGGGGUUGGGUAUCUCUCUCGAAAACAAUCUUCCUUCGACCACAAUCAAGGUUAGCUCGGUAACUUGACAGCCAAUCACCUUCAGUUUCAAGAACUUGAUCUCCAGGAGAACGGGAAUGGAUAAAUUCACCUUAGUGAAUUCUCCAUCGAAUCAUGAUGCUACUUCGGGAGCUACAAAACUAUGUGUUGCUCCCAAAUCGAAAAGGAUGUGGGCGGAUAUUCCACCCACAAGCAAAGUCGCUGACAAUAAUUGACUUUCCCUUCAAUUACUUACUCAACAACUUUAUACUAUUUUUUAUUUAUAUCACCAAUUUACCAAUCAUUUAAAAAUUAUGCAACACUCAAUUGGUUAGGAAAACAAACCUGAAAUCGGACCCUGAGGUGGUCCGGAUGGUCCUGGUAACUCUAAAGCAUAAGCCCUACCAGCAGUGGCUUGACGCUUAGCAGGAGGUAAGGGUAAAGGUGGGUUAACUGGUACAACGGGUUGAGCACUCGUAACAACAGGCUGAGCAAGAUGAGUGUGUGGACAUGAUGUCGCGUAAUGUCCUCGCUCUCCACACGUGAAACAAGUGAUGUGAGAUGGUACAGCCGGUUGGAACUGUCCCACGGUCGGACAAUCUCUCCUAACAUGGCCCAGCUGGCCACAAGUGAAACAAGUUGGGGUUCUAGGUCUAGGAUCUCCAGAUCGACCUCCCCGAAAAGCUCUACCUCCCCGUCCUCGCGGCAUAGGAGAAUGUGGCUGAGGCUGACUUUGAACGGAUGGACGUCUAGGUUGUGCAGAAUGGCUAGAAGAAGCUCUCUCAGCAGCAAUGGCCUCCUCCACGUUCACAGCACGCUCAACAAGAUCAGCAAGCCUAUGAAACUCUACUGCCUCAAGUCUGCUCCUGAUAUAUGGGUUAAGUCCUCGAAGGAACUUACGGAUAAUCAUCAUCUCGUCCUCUCGACCAUAGUGGACAUACUUCCUGAGACGGGUGAACUCUGCCUCAUACUUCCUAACAGAUAAUCCUCCCUGAACUAGCUCCAUGAAUUUAAUCUCCAAUCGAUCACGGGCUUCCGGUGGGAAGUACUUUCGAACGAACGCUGUACGGAAGUCAGCCCAACUCAGAUUGAAGUCUCCAAAGUUCCUCUCUACGCAUAACCACCAACUGAUGGCGUCCUUCUCCAGAUAGUAAACAGCCACGUCCUUCUUGAAUUCUACCGGACAACGGGUUGCAGCAAAGUUCUGCUCGAGAUUGUGCAGCCAUGCAUCAGCUUCAAAGGGAUCAGUACCUCCCUGGUAACGCUUCGUCCCCAAGUUCUUCAUAAUCAUGACUAUCUUCAGAAAGUCCUGAUGAGAAGUGGUAGGUACUGGAGCUGGCUGAGUACGCUGUGCUUCACGCUGUGCAUUCAAUGCUUGAUGUUGCAAAUUCACCAUCUCAGCCAUCAGUUCUAGAAGUGCUAUUAUAGCUGGAUCAGUUGGCGCUGGUUGAGGUUGUGCUGCCGGAAUAGGUGCGGCAGGGGCCGGUGGAAUAUGAGCGGCAGGAGAUGCAGGAGCUGCGUAAUGAUCUCCGUGCACUGGACUAUCGUGUACCACAUCCACCUCGAUGUCCAUAAAAUACGGGUCUGGAGACAAUGGCAUGUGCACCGGUGUCUGAUUAUAUGACCCUUCAGACGGGUCAGUCUCAAAGCUAGAUCCCGAAGGUGUAGCAUCAAAGCUAGCAGUCGGAAGUGGUGUCGGAGUAGAUGGCGGCGAAGAGUCUGAAGAUGAUGAAAUCGAAAUUGGGAGGUUUGGACCUCCACGGCGUCCAAAGAGUGCUCUUCUCGGUGGCAUCUGCAACGAAAGAUCAUGGUAAGUUUCUACCCAGGUCUAUCUAUUUCUAAAAGAAGGAACAAACCAGCAUAUCCUAAUUAUCCUUGCGACACAUUUUCGACUCGAAAAUUAUUUGAAACAAGUCCCAUUCAAGCAUCGUAUAACCAUGCUCUGAUACCACCUUUGUGACACCCCCGAUCGUAGAUAACCGGAAAUGACACGGUCAAUGUUCCCUGAUGGUCGACCCGAGGUUCUCGAAAUAAAUCCGAUCACCUUAGACCAACAACCAAAGAACACAGACACUCCUAUCGGAUAUUACUCUAGGCUUUUCAACCCGAUAAAGCAAUAUUCGAUAGUUAGUUCGUCCCGGACAAGGACUAAUAUCAUAUGAGAACUCGUGAUUUAUAAACAUCUUUUAUACAUUAUUUAUUUACUUUAAACAUCUUACAAAGUGUUAUAGUUUACCCUACGGCCUAUCGCCCAACAACGUUUUAAGUAAAUAUACAUCAAAAGGUACGUUGCAAGGACAACAAAAUACUACCGCUGGUUGGCCGCUCCUUCCGUCCAAAAGAUUUAAGUGUCUCCCGCCUAAGGUUUACCUGCACACACAAAUGAGUCAUGAGCAACUAGUUUACUCAGUGAAUCUAGAAUCACAACACAAUCAAUAACAAUCAAGCAAUUAUCAAUGCAUAUACAUGAUCAUGCAAGUACUAGUACUAUACUUUAAUAUCGAUCAUCAUUGUGAAUUCUUAUUUUAAACAUCACUUCCACAACACCCGCCCGUUACCAUACUCAUAUAAUACAAUAUAUAUACUAGACCCGAGAAACCACUAAGGCUAACCGAGACUAGUGAGUUAGCAUCACCAUCAUUGUCGAAUGUCCGGUAUGGACAAUCCGACACUGCAUCGUCAUGCAGUACACGGUCUCCAGGGAGCUACCCCAUCAUCGUGUCUUCAUGACCUUGUUCCGUUCGCAGGACCAAGUCACGGUAAUGCGGGGGCUUUAGGGAUAGUGAAUAUAACAAGACUUCACAUGAUUUUACUUCCAUAAUUAUUCCAAAAUUAAUCCUUAAUUAAUUAUAAUUAACUCUUAACUAAUCCUAGAUUAAUCCUUAAUUAAUCUCAUAUUAAUCCUUAAUUAAUCCAAGAUUAGUACUUAAUUAAUCCAAGAUUAGUACUCAAUUAAUCUCAGAUUAAUUUUCAAUUAAACCAAGAUUAAUUCUUAAUUAAACCAUGAUUAAUCCAUAAUCAAAACCAUGAUUAUUUCAUAGUUAAGAUUAGUACUUGAGAACAAGUACUAAGAUUAGGAUUAACCUCACUUUAAAAUUAUUCAUUAAGUGUAAGUGUUUACCAUGAGUAAACACAACACAAUUCUUAAAUAUUCAGACACUUUACUAACUUAAUCAAGGACUCAUUCAUGAUCUAUCUCAACAUCUGUCUAGACUCACCUAAAGAACAGUCUUGAAACUGGCUUGGACAAGACUUAAGUUCCUCUUGAACAAAGCUGAAUGGACCUGAGAAUGGACAAGGUUCUGAUCGGUUACUAUGGUUAACUCAACAACUCAUCUGACUCACUUGAUUGUGGCUUACCAAGAGACUGAAUGGAUAGGAUGGGACUAGCAAAGCUCCACACCUUAGCUGAUCAAAACAGGGUAAGGUUGGGUUCAGAACAUCAACAAUCCGACAGUUCGGUUCAAGCUAAACAACUUAAAUCAAAUCAGUUCAAGCUCGGUUCCUUUCAUACCAGAUCAGAUCAGUUCAGUUCUAUUCAGUUAACAACAGUUCAAGACAAGAUCAGACUGAGUUUAGUUUCGUUUCUCCAAUCAAUCCAUAACAGCUUAGCAAACUGUUUUAGGAGAUGGAUUCAAACCGAAACUAAACAAGAACUGAACUGUAUCAUAACUUAUACAACUGAUCCGACCAAGAUCUAAGGUAGCCAUGAACUGUUCUGAUCAGAUACUGACUGAGGCUAGGAGACCAAAGCUUACCAAGAUGAACUAAAGGACUAGAUGGCCUCAGCUGAUCCUCUUCUCCAUGGUAAGCUUGCAGCUGAACUGAUCAAAGAGAAAGAUCAAGGCCUGAUCAUGAUCUGAACUGAACUAGGUCUAGGUUUUUAUUUUAAAAUCUCACCUUCUGAUCUUUCUCAAAGCAACAGACUGGUCUAGGGUUGAAGAUUAGAUCACCAAGAAUUGUUUCUUGAUUUAUUUUCCUAAUUUUCUCACUGAUUUUUCUGUUCUUCUUUCUCUCUUUCUCUCUGAAAUUCUCUAGGUUUUUCUGUAGGUUUCAGAACGUGGGAAGCAGCUGGAGGAGGGUUAAAUACAAGCUGUGGUUGCUUCACCUGAGGGUUUAGCUCAUAACAAAGCUUGGCUGAGAGCAGACAGCUGGCAACCUGUUUCAUCAUCUACACCAUACUGUCCUUUCCCUCCCAUGAAGUAGUUUCCAGCCAAUCAUAAAUAAUUAAAGGAGGAAGCAAGCACACAGGCAGCUUGUGAUUGUCAUGUGCCAUUUACUGAAGAAGCUAAGCAAGCAGGCAGGUGCAAGUCAUGUGAUUAAAGACUGAGCAAGCAGGCUGGUGGAAGACAUGAGUCUGGUCCAAAAUUACUUGUAGCAGUUGGUUGAUAAUUUCCAAUAAUUUUUAACUAAAUAUUCCUUGUCUUUGGCUCUCGUCUUGUUCUCGGAAAAUCUCUUCCAGUUUAAUAAAAAUUCGACCAAAAUAUUUAAGACUCGACCAAACUAUCAAGUGAAGGUCUUUCAACCACAAGACAGUCCCGUCGAGAAAUUAAUCUACCGGGUCGAUUUUUAUUUUUAUUAAUCAUGGUCGAACCAACUAAAAACUGGUUGAGCGGGAUUUUUCUCUACCAAAAAUUUAUUGGCUCGUGAGGGUUAUUACACUCUUCCCCCCUUAAAAGAAUUCGUCCCGAAUUCUCAAAAUACAAGUGUACACUCUUUACUGGACGACUGGGGUAUCUGAGAAGAGUUCUAGGUAAUCAGCUCGGAACUUAUCUUCAUCCUUCCAUGUUAUAACAACUCUCUGUCACUUUUCCCAAAAUACUUAAACUUGCGAAAUUUCCCUAUUCUUCUAUUUAUUGAAACGAUGUUCGCCUAUUCGCAAAGGACCUUCAGGAUAGGUGAGGUUAGGUUGCAAGUUCUCUGGUCGCUGCGGCUCGACCAUAUUCGGAUCUGGUAUAUGCUUACAUAGCAUCGAUACAUGAAAUACCGGAUGCAUAGGCAUAUCGGGUGGAAGUUCUAGUCUAUAGGCUAGUUCUCCAACUCUAGCGACAAUUCGGUAUGGUGCCUUUGCUAUUGCAGCGGAUCCGGGUUCUAAGGUUAUACUAAAGGCGUUACUCCUAGACGGCGACAAUCCCUCUAAUGCCUUAAACACGUCCUCAUAUUCUCUGACUACUGGUAUUUCUUCCAUGUUCUGCUCUUUCUCGUCUUCUACUGGUCCAACAACUAAGGUCACUAAGUAUACUUCUUCACCCUUCUCCAAAAGGUUUUCAAUUCUCAGUGCUAACACUAAUGACGCUCCAACACUUGGUACUAUGCCAUGGUAAGCUAAAGGGGGGUUGGGUAUCUCUCUCGAAAACAAUCUUCCUUCGACCACAAUCAAGGUUAGCUCGGUAACUUGACAGCCAAUCACCUUCAGUUUCAAGAACUUGAUCUCCAGGAGAACGGGAAUGGAUAAAUUCACCUUAGUGAAUUCUCCAUCGAAUCAUGAUGCUACUUCGGGAGCUACAAAACUAUGUGUUGCUCCCAAAUCGAAAAGGAUGUGGGCGGAUAUUCCACCCACAAGCAAAGUCGCUGACAAUAAUUGACUUUCCCUUCAAUUACUUACUCAACAACUUUAUACUAUUUUUUAUUUAUAUCACCAAUUUACCAAUCAUUUAAAAAUUAUGCAACACUCAAUUGGUUAGGAAAACAAACCUGAAAUCGGACCCUGAGGUGGUCCGGAUGGUCCUGGUAACUCUAAAGCAUAAGCCCUACCAGCAGUGGCUUGACGCUUAGCAGGAGGUAAGGGUAAAGGUGGGUUAACUGGUACAACGGGUUGAGCACUCGUAACAACAGGCUGAGCAAGAUGAGUGUGUGGACAUGAUGUCGCGUAAUGUCCUCGCUCUCCACACGUGAAACAAGUGAUGUGAGAUGGUACAGCCGGUUGGAACUGUCCCACGGUCGGACAAUCUCUCCUAACAUGGCCCAGCUGGCCACAAGUGAAACAAGUUGGGGUUCUAGGUCUAGGAUCUCCAGAUCGACCUCCCCGAAAAGCUCUACCUCCCCGUCCUCGCGGCAUAGGAGAAUGUGGCUGAGGCUGACUUUGAACGGAUGGACGUCUAGGUUGUGCAGAAUGGCUAGAAGAAGCUCUCUCAGCAGCAAUGGCCUCCUCCACGUUCACAGCACGCUCAACAAGAUCAGCAAGCCUAUGAAACUCUACUGCCUCAAGUCUGCUCCUGAUAUAUGGGUUAAGUCCUCGAAGGAACUUACGGAUAAUCAUCAUCUCGUCCUCUCGACCAUAGUGGACAUACUUCCUGAGACGGGUGAACUCUGCCUCAUACUUCCUAACAGAUAAUCCUCCCUGAACUAGCUCCAUGAAUUUAAUCUCCAAUCGAUCACGGGCUUCCGGUGGGAAGUACUUUCGAACGAACGCUGUACGGAAGUCAGCCCAACUCAGAUUGAAGUCUCCAAAGUUCCUCUCUACGCAUAACCACCAACUGAUGGCGUCCUUCUCCAGAUAGUAAACAGCCACGUCCUUCUUGAAUUCUACCGGACAACGGGUUGCAGCAAAGUUCUGCUCGAGAUUGUGCAGCCAUGCAUCAGCUUCAAAGGGAUCAGUACCUCCCUGGUAACGCUUCGUCCCCAAGUUCUUCAUAAUCAUGACUAUCUUCAGAAAGUCCUGAUGAGAAGUGGUAGGUACUGGAGCUGGCUGAGUACGCUGUGCUUCACGCUGUGCAUUCAAUGCUUGAUGUUGCAAAUUCACCAUCUCAGCCAUCAGUUCUAGAAGUGCUAUUAUAGCUGGAUCAGUUGGCGCUGGUUGAGGUUGUGCUGCCGGAAUAGGUGCGGCAGGGGCCGGUGGAAUAUGAGCGGCAGGAGAUGCAGGAGCUGCGUAAUGAUCUCCGUGCACUGGACUAUCGUGUACCACAUCCACCUCGAUGUCCAUAAAAUACGGGUCUGGAGACAAUGGCAUGUGCACCGGUGUCUGAUUAUAUGACCCUUCAGACGGGUCAGUCUCAAAGCUAGAUCCCGAAGGUGUAGCAUCAAAGCUAGCAGUCGGAAGUGGUGUCGGAGUAGAUGGCGGCGAAGAGUCUGAAGAUGAUGAAAUCGAAAUUGGGAGGUUUGGACCUCCACGGCGUCCAAAGAGUGCUCUUCUCGGUGGCAUCUGCAACGAAAGAUCAUGGUAAGUUUCUACCCAGGUCUAUCUAUUUCUAAAAGAAGGAACAAACCAGCAUAUCCUAAUUAUCCUUGCGACACAUUUUCGACUCGAAAAUUAUUUGAAACAAGUCCCAUUCAAGCAUCGUAUAACCAUGCUCUGAUACCACCUUUGUGACACCCCCGAUCGUAGAUAACCGGAAAUGACACGGUCAAUGUUCCCUGAUGGUCGACCCGAGGUUCUCGAAAUAAAUCCGAUCACCUUAGACCAACAACCAAAGAACACAGACACUCCUAUCGGAUAUUACUCUAGGCUUUUCAACCCGAUAAAGCAAUAUUCGAUAGUUAGUUCGUCCCGGACAAGGACUAAUAUCAUAUGAGAACUCGUGAUUUAUAAACAUCUUUUAUACAUUAUUUAUUUACUUUAAACAUCUUACAAAGUGUUAUAGUUUACCCUACGGCCUAUCGCCCAACAACGUUUUAAGUAAAUAUACAUCAAAAGGUACGUUGCAAGGACAACAAAAUACUACCGCUGGUUGGCCGCUCCUUCCGUCCAAAAGAUUUAAGUGUCUCCCGCCUAAGGUUUACCUGCACACACAAAUGAGUCAUGAGCAACUAGUUUACUCAGUGAAUCUAGAAUCACAACACAAUCAAUAAUAAACGAAACAGUUAUCAAAUGCAUAUACAUGAUCAUGCAAGUACUAGUACUAUACUUUAAUAUCGAUCAUCAUUGUGAAUUCUUAUUUUAAACAUCACUUCCACAACACCCGCCCGUUACCAUACUCAUAUAAUACAAUAUAUAUACUAGACCCGAGAAACCACUAAGGCUAACCGAGACUAGUGAGUUAGCAUCACCAUCAUUGUCGAAUGUCCGGUAUGAACAAUCCGACACUGCAUCGUCAUGCAGUACACGGUCUCCAGGGAGCUACCCCAUCAUCGUGUUUUCAUGACCUUGUUCCGUUCGCAGGACCAAGUCACGGUAAUGCGGGGGCUUUAGGGAUAGUGAAUAUAACAAGACUUCACAUGAUUUUACUUCCAUAAUUAUUCCAAAACUAAUCCAUAUUUAAUCCUUAAUUAAUCGUAAUUAACUCUUAAUUAAUCCUAGAUUAAUCCUUAAUUAAUCUUAUAUUUAUCUUCAAUUAAUCCAAGAUUAGUACUAAAUUAAUCAUGAUUACUCCUUAUUUAAUCUCAGAUUAAUUCUCAAUUAAAUCAAGAUUAAUUCAUAAUCAAAACCAUGAUUAUUUCAUAAUUAAGAUUAGUACUUGAGAACAAGUACUAUGAUUAUGAUUAACCUCACUUUAACCUUUUGAUUAAUCUUCAAGUGUAAGUGUUUACACUAAGUAAACACCAUACACUUCUUAAAGGAUUCAAAGACUUUACUAUUUAAUUGAGAUACUACAAUUUAAAGUCAAUCAUGUACCUAAAGAACAGUCUUGAAACUGGCUUGGACAAGACUUGAGUUCCUCUUGAACAAGGCUGAAAGGACAGGAUGGGACUAGCAAAGCUCCACACCUUAGCUGAUCAAAACAGAGCAAAGUUUGGUUCAGAACAUCAACAAUCUGACAGUUCGGUUCAAGCUAAACUACUUAAAUCAAUUCAGUUCAAGCUCGGUUCCUCUCAUACCAGAUCAGAUCAGUUCGGUUGUAUUCAGUUAACAACAGUUCAGGACAAGAUCAGACUGAGUUCAGUUUGGUUUAAGUCCAAUCAAUCCAUAACAGCUUAGCAAACUGUUUUAAGAGAUGAAUUCAAACCGAAACUAAACAAGAACUGAACUGUAUCAUAACUUAUACAACUGAUCCGACCAAGAUCUAAGGUAGCCAUGAACUGUUCUGAUCAGAUACUGACUGAGGCAAGGAGACCAAAGCUUACCAAGACGAACCAAAGGACUAGAUNNNNNNNNNNNNNNNNNNNNNNNNNNNNNNNNNNNNNNNNNNNNNNNNNNNNNNNNNNNNNNNNNNNNNNNNNNNNNNNNNNNNNNNNNNNNNNNNNNNNNNNNNNNNNNNNNNNNNNNNNNNNNNNNNNNNNNNNNNNNNNNNNNNNNNNNNNNNNNNNNNNNNNNNNNNNNNNNNNNNNNNNNNNNNNNNNNNNNNNNNNNNNNNNNNNNNNNNNNNNNNNNNNNNNNNNNNNNNNNNNNNNNNNNNNNNNNNNNNNNNNNNNNNNNNNNNNNNNNNNNNNNNNNNNNNNNNNNNNNNNNNNNNNNNNNNNNNNNNNNNNNNNNNNNNNNNNNNNNNNNNNNNNNNNNNNNNNNNNNNNNNNNNNNNNNNNNNNNNNNNNNNNNNNNNNNNNNNNNNNNNNNNNNNNNNNNNNNNNNNNNNNNNNNNNNNNNNNNNNNNNNNNNNNNNNNNNNNNNNNNNNNNNNNNNNNNNNGUUGAUUUCAUCUUUGGUGUAGAGUUCUGGUGCCAGUCUUGUGAGUGUGAAGGAAGUGGCAUGUUCUGGAAGACAGAUGUGGCUCUCUUCAAAAAGAGAUGCUAUUUCCAGUACUUUCCUGAUGUCGUCCUUUGUGACAGGUAUCAUCUCACCAGCUACGCUUCGUGGGUGUCCACACUCAUCUCUGUAGACUCCAUACUCGUCCCUUCGUUCCCAAGUGAACUUUCUGGCUCCGUACAUGUCAAAAGCGCGGUAUCCAAAUUCAUAACGUCUGUCGAUCGACGUCGGGUCAUCCUUAUCGGUCGACGUUGGUGUUAUCGUGUCGACCGAUGUCUGACUUGUUCCGUCGAUCGAUGCUUGGCCUUUUGGUUGGCAUGAUAGAUCUGGAUUGAUUUCUGUUGCGGCGACUCCUACGUGUUAGUUUGGAUCGGUUUGAAUGACGUCUCGAGUACCACGUUGCUGUGAGAAUAGGUUGUCAGGUCCAUUGGCCACUUGAAGGAUAGCUGCUAUGUCCUCUCUAGACACUUGUAAGAUCCUUCCAUCUAUUGCACGUGCAUUGCCAUAUGUGUCCCUGAAAAUACCAAAUUCAUCAGGUGUUAGAAAACCGUAAUCAAUGUUUGCAUUAUCAUUCAAUUUAGAAAUAGAAAGUUUAGGUUUAAGAGUAGUAUGAUCGAUGUUGAUACAGAUGCAUCGAUCGAGGGCAGAAUAAUUUCUGCAUAACUUGUGUUCUUGAGAUGAUUGCUCUUCAUGAAUUUUCCUAUUGAUGUAGACGGAAGAGUGUUCAUCUUUUCUGCUUGUGUGUCUGCUCUGGUGUGUGGAGGUGGUUUCAGGGGUGCAAAAUGUUUUAUAUAGGUAUAUAUAAACCUAGUUGGAGAGGGAAUUUUCUCCUGCUCCUGGAUUUUUGUUGCGGCGCGAAUAUCGAUCGAUGUUCCUGUAUGGGUGUCGAUCGAUGUGAGCGGUUGUUUUGCUGGAAGAGGGUGGGUAUCGACCGAUGUGGAGUGCCCUUCGUCGAACGAUGUUGGAAACGUGUUGGUGAACUUAUGUGUUUCAAAUCUUUCAUCCUGCAAAGACAUUUCUAUUGCACGUUCCUUCCAUUAAUCCUCAUCGUAUUCCUCUGUAUGUUCCUUGUUAGGUGAAGUUAUUACAGUGUCAACUGAAAAACUUUCAUGGAAACCACUGUCUGCCCAACUGCCUAUGGAAUAAUCAUCACGUCCUCUCUUGCUUGGAGGUUGGAAGACAAAGUGUGGGUAACAAUGAUUAGGUAGAGCGAAAUGGUCAACCGGCUGAUCAACGUCGAGUGACGUGUUGUUACGGUCAUCGGUCACCGUUGACUCAUUGGAAUCGAUCGAUGGAAAGGUGUGGGUGUCGAUCGAUUCCGAGUACUCUGUUUCGUACUCUGAUUCAUACUCUGCUCCACAAUGGUUCCAGUUAAGUUCGAUGUCUAGGACAUGAAAAUCUACAUGGACAAGGGCAUUACCAAUCUGUACCUCCAGAUCUCUUAUGAUACCUCCUGAUCGUUUUUCUGAAAGAUCCACGAAGGUGAAGGAUUCUGUUGAAGGUUCGAUGGUCAAACCAAGAUGGUCUGCCAUGAUCCUAGGGAGGAUACUAACUGAUGCUCCUGUGUCACACAUUUAAUGGGGAAAUUCAACACCCUUGACUACGCAUGGUAUUGCAAACUUCCCAGGAUCACUCUUCUUCGACAAUGUGAUCUUGUGUCUCAUCUUCCCUCUGACUUGAUCAAACAUUCUCCUAAUAUCCUCCUCAGUAACUUUGUUUCUCUAAAGAACAUCCACAACCUGUGUGUGAAGUAAGCUUCAUCAAAAGAUUUUUCGAUUGGGAUUCUGAGGAUUCUUUUAGUGAAACCAUCCAUCUCCUUAUCGUUAGCUUCCCUCUUAAGGUUCUUAGGAAUUUUCUCUUUUCUUUUCCUUAACCUUCUCCCUUCAGUUUCCUGAUCUUCUUGAACUGGUUCUGGUGAACUAUUUAAAGGGUUGGGUUUUGGUUCGGGUGGGCUAUCUAUUGGUUUAGGUGGUGGUUUGAGUGCGUUGAUAUAGUCAUUAUCGAUUGAGGGUAACCGCACUCGGUAUGUCAGAGGUGCAUGUCGAUCGAUGGGAGGUGUGUUGUGACGAUCGACGUCGGACUCACUCUGUCGAUCGAUGGUUGGGUCAACCGAUCGAUCGAUUUUAUCAUAGAAAGGGGAGGGUGGGUGAGGAUGCUUAGCUGCGAAUUCUUCAUAAGUUAGAAUUCGAACUGCAUUAUAUUCAGUCGAUUUAGCGGACGUCGUCGAUCGAUGACUGGAGUAAUCCGUCCAUCGAUCUUCGUCAUGGUCUGUCGAUCGAUGCGAGUUCAUCGACAUCGGUCGACACCAUUGGGAUCCGCCGAGACUCAUGGAUCUUUCGAUUUUAAAGUCUCCUUCCUCAAGCUUUUCAUGUCUCACCACUUGUCAGAAAUCAUCAUCUAUGAUGGCAUUUACCUGGUGUUUUUCUUUGUCAGCUCCUGCCUCUCUAGCGAAAGCUUCUUGCCUCUUUAUAGUUUCGCCAGUCUGAAUCACAUGCGUUUCAAGUUUUCUCACCUUAGUCCCUAAGGUCUCAAUUUUGGUGUUCAGAUUGUUGUAGGCGCAGUCUAUUUUACCGUUGAAAUCCACGGUGAUUUGUUGAUGUCCCAACAGUACUCGAUCAAGCAUUUCUUCGAUCUUGCUUUCCUGAGGCUGGGGUGGUGGAUUCUGGUAGUAGGAGUUCGAGUAGCUUUUGCUGUUGUUGAAGGGUUUUUAAACUUGUGAACUCUGGUUACUUCUUUGACCAUUUCCAAAGAAGUUUCUGUUUCCGCCCUGGUUUCCAAAUUUUUGGAAUCUGGUACCUCCGAUGUAGUUCAGAUUUUCUUCUCCUUCCGUAUCUGCUACUUCUCCUUCAGCUAAACAGACUUGCUUCCUAAGAAGCUCGUGCACCACAUCUAACUUAGCUCUUACUUCGUCCAUGAUACCACUCAAAUUACCCUAAGGAGUGUUACUCUCAUCAAAAGAGGUUCAGAUGUAGUACUUAGGGAUCGAAUCCACAAGGAGCUAGGGAAUAAUUAAAUCUAGUGUUUAUUAAUUCUAAAGGUUGUAAAUGUUUUAAUAAAAUAGCAAUAGUAACAAGCGAGUAAAUAUAAAUGUAACUUGGUUGGAAAUGAUAUUAGAUGCAGGGCCACUAUUCAAUUGUUGGAGAUUAUAAUACCUAUAGAUGCCUAACGGUUGCAUGCAUGAUAUAUUAGAGCUCAUUCGCUUACCUCAGUGAUCAGUUGUCGCAUGUACCACUGGUUAACAGACUAGAUCUCGUGUCUCACCGGUUAGAUGCAGACACAAGAGAGUGGCGAUCAAUAGUCUAUUAAGACGUCGACCGAUACACCUUUGCCAACAUCGAUCGAUUGUCAGUUGAGGACAUCGAUCGACGGGUUCUAGCCAGGCCUAUGCGCGAGUAUGAAAUGCCCUACUAAGAUUCUAAAUUGGCGGUUAGCCCUCUCUAGCAAUCCUAAUAUGAUAGAUAGAUGUCAGGAUGGGAUAACAAGGGUGCUUGAAUAUGCAAUCCUAUGAUCAAGUUCUAGUUAGCAAGGCUAAAACAAGCAAUGAAUACAAAUCUAUCAUGAAUAUCACAACAAGGCAGAUCUAUAGUUUGGGGCUAAUCCCACAAACCUAUCUGAACCCUGGAUCUAACAGUUGAACUACUCAGACAUAGCAAAGCAAUUCAUAUCAAUAGAUAAAUAGAAACUCAUAGAAUAGAUGAAAAGAAAUAGAAACAAGGAGUUCCAAUCACAAGUGAUCUUCUCUCCCAAAUGAAACUUGUAACAAAACUAGGUCUAGAAAAAGCUCUGUUCUUCUGCCGUCAAAAACACUAGGCAGUAUAUAUUCUACUAGGUUAAAAACUCGUCAGGGCAUUUUGGUAAUUUGGCUUGGCCUUGGUUUUUAAGUCUGCUGAAUCCAAAAUGUCGCGUCUGGUGUCUCGACAUCGAUCGAUGGUACUUGUGUACAUCGAUCGAUAUUAAUCUUCAUCUGUCGAGGCAUUUCCUGAUAUCGAUCGUCAGCACUGAUGCGCAUCGAUCGAUUAUUCUUCCUCUCGUCGACCUCUAAGUGGUCAGCUCGGGUGAAAUGUCCUUUAAGCUCCAAAAUGCUCCAAAGUCAUAGCUUUACUCCGAAAUGCACCUGAACCUGAAAACAUACCUAGAAGAGUAGAAAACAUAGAUAUAUAUAUAGUAAAAUACUUAUAUACCAUGGAUAAAAAUGGGUCAAAUCCAAGGUAUAUCAACUCCCCCAGACUUACCCUUUUGCUUGUCCUCAAGCAAAACAUACAGGCAGUCUCUCUGAAAGAGGUUUGAAAAUAUUUGGGGAUUUAAGAUUUUAAAACAUAGAAAUCUUUCCUCAACAAUUUUGCAACCACAUUUAAAAAGUCCUAAUCACAAAAGCACACUAUGCAAUAUCCUAGCUUAGCAACCAUUUCUAACAUAACACAACUCAUCAAUUCACGUCUGACAUCCCCUCUACUGAUUUCAUUUCUUAGCAUAAAUAUAAAGUGAAUGCUUUACCUUGGGAGUAUCGAUCACAGGAUGCAAGGAUUUCAGACAGGUAUCUGGAGCUGCAGGUAAAAGUUAGUUCCUAGUUUCUCUCUCUCUAAAUUUCUCUCUUGAGUCAAAGUCUGCUUCCAUUGCAGGAUCAGUGACCAAGAUUGGACAGGCUUCCAUGAAUCAAAACUUAAUGGUGGUUGCCACCAAGUUCUGUUCACUUCUUUUUGACCUAUAUCCAAGAGUUCUUUGCGAAAGCGAGCCUUGAAGAUUGCCGCCUCCAAGUCCCGUUUCGAACUCUUUUAUUUGAGUCUUUAUGAAUCAAGCCUUAAUGGUUUUAGCCACCAAGUCCUGUUCAGACUCAUCCUAAUUAAACAAUAGAUCUUAUUUAUUUAUUUAUUUAUUUAAUUUUUUUUAAUACUCACUAACUAAUCUAGGGUCGAAAUUUAGAGAGAAAAAUGUGAUAAAUAAUCUAAACCAGGCGUUACCUUCCAGACCUGUCUGAAGAAUCCGAUCCCAUGUAUACCAAGCCCCAAGACAAGCGGUUAUGUCAGGUUUAGUGUUGGAAAUCAGCUUUGGUUACUUCAUACGGUUCAAGGCAAGUGUGUAGUUGAUAGGUUGAUCCCAUGUAUACCACUCACGGGUUUUUCAGGCGAAGUAUCGAUGACUCUUGGAUCGAUCCAAUUGCCAGUCAUGGCCAAGGAGAUCACGAAAAUCGUCGAGUUCGCGGUAGUCGAUCAUCCCGCUAUCUACAACGUGAUCAUGGGAACCCCAUGGCUCAACGCCAUGCAGGCAGUUCCGUCAACCUACCACCUGGGUCUCAAAUUCCCAACGCCAAGCGGAGUCGCGGCCAUCUGGGGAUGCCAAAAACAGUCGCGACUAUGCUUCCUCGCGGAGCAUAAGUUAAGGCAAAUCACGGCUUCUGCAAACGGCAAACGCGCGAAGAUAGAUCGAUCUUCAGCCAAAAGCGCCCCGGGAGAAGACGAAGUAAAAUCGUCUAUCAACGCAAACGCAUCGGACGUCGAAGCUCGACAUAAAUCCGAAGCCCACGCGACAACUCAACCGGAACAUCCGGAAAAUAGCGUCGACCCAGCCACGAUCGACACGGUCAAGGCGGACAUCGCGACAUCUACCGCCGAGUAAGAACACUCGCGGCAUGAAACAGAACUACGAGAUGGCUUGAUCCUCGAAAGGGGUACGUAGGCAGCUCGUCAAAAGACGAGUUCAGCUAUCCCCCUCUCUAAAAAGGGGGGGGGAGUGGGUGCGUAUACUCGUAUACUCCCACUUAGAAAAAUCUUCAUUAUUGUAAUCGAGUUUUUAGAAACUUCAAAAACUUUUACUACAAUAUACGUUGUCCUUUUUAUCGAAAACGCUUACGCUUCAGUAAAACACAAAAGAAACUUUCAGGACACGCCUGGAAACAUUAAGACUCUUGUCUGCGGCCUCAUCCGGCCCAAAAAUCAUCAUCUUUCAAACACUCAAAAAUACAUGUACAAUCCUCGAAAUAACUGCGAGACGUGGCAAAAGUUAAAAUUCGAGGAUAAUACUAACAAAUUGUCCGAACGCGACAACCAAAACCUUACACCCCGUUCGUCGAUUGGCACCGACGAACACGCCACCCGUCUUAAACAAACGCAAUUCGAUCACUCUUUUGAUCUUCAAAAACGUCCAACACAAGGACGAAAGCGCGCUACAACAAAAAUCCGAAAUUUUGGUCUAGAACUUCCAGUUGACUCUGAGAAGAUGCUCGAUUCGUACCAUACAAGUCAUAUAAGCCGAGAACAUAUCGCGGACUUUAAAUUGGUGCGAGUCAGGAAGAAAUCGCAACAGGAAAAACGAUAGCCGGCUAGUCACCGCACAAACCUUAACCGAAAGUAAACCUAGGUCUUGCCCUAAACCCAACGCUCUGGUCUCAAACAUCUCAAGGCAUGAUAUCUAAAAGAUACGAGAUCCUAAACCAUGUCUCUCCGUUCGUAUCUCAAUGUUCUCGAAAAUCGUAAAGAUGGGUAAUUCUUACGAAAAUCACGAACGAACCAACAGAUUGGACGUCUCAUCGGAAUUGAAUAUGAGACGACAACUCAUAUUUACUUCGAACCUACUCGGGAAAAACUCGAAAAAACGAAACAUUCAUCAUAUAAAUAACCGCGUAAAGCGGCAAGGGGAUUCGAAGCCACCAACGGCCAGUCCCGGUAAAUACAAACACGGCCAUCUAGGCCUAAGCAAAAUCCAAAUUCAAAAGGUCACACUCGGCCGAAAACAGAUAAAACGAUAAUCAAAUUCAACCAUCAAUACAAAGGAUCAGUCCAUCCAAACAGGAUCCUCUACAGUCGGCUCUCCAUCUUCCUCAGCGUCAAGCGACCCUCGACCACUGCUCCGCCCAGUGGCAUAGACAGCGGACAAGGAGGUAUCUUCAAAAGAAGCCUCUAUAACAUUAUCAAUUGAUGAGCUGAAACGAGAUCAAUGAGCCUCGACCGCCGCACGGACCCUCUCGGGAGAAAAAUGACCCCAAAACAGCAGACCACCACGGAGAAGGUCUCGGACGAUGCACAAAUCUUCUGGAAAAGGAGGAAUGGGGUUGUGUACUGCAAAAUGAACGUAGUACAUAUAUGGAAGAAUAAAAAAAAACGGGUAGUAAGAAAAGCAACGAGUGAUCAUUCAGCACGUUACCUCCUGCCCCCCACAGUCGCCUAAACGUGGGAAGGCACUCCACGGCGACCGAGGCUUGGUCCAAUCUAACGUAGAAAAAAUAACUCUUCCAUCCACAACCGCCCUGAGGGAACCCCUUCAGGACUUCCAUAUGAGUACGCGACCUUAAACCAUACAGACGAUCGGUCCCAACUCGAGACAGGGUAAGGAAAGCUUCGAGAUAAUCAGCAGUGAGCUCCAAGCCUUGCUCAUAUCCCAAGACUAGCAACCCGACAAGAUGCUUUAUACCGCGGGGAGAAAUCUGACUUAUCGAAACUUCCAAAUAGUUCAGAAACUCUACUAUAACCAACGGAAUGGGAAACCACAGGCGAGCACGCAUCAGAUGCUCCUCGUACAAAGUAAAAAAUCCUUCGGGAGGUUCGUCAGCUCUCUCCCCCUCGAGGGGUAAUCGAAAAUCCACGUUUUCCGGAACGUCACAGAAGCUUCGUACAGUUCCAAGGAACGGAAGGGUACACCUGCUCGGUCUCCCAACGACCCUUUCCGAAAAAGGCCUCAUGGGAACCCACGGCUCAGGAGGCGGUUCUUCCACGUUGCACAUAGCCACCCAAUAUGCGUCGACCUCGGCAGGGUCAACGGAGUGUGCCACGAACUCGAUCUCUCGGAAAAACUCACCGCGUCCGUGACGGACGGUUCCGCGAUUGAAAAUAGUAGGCCGAGCGUUUGCCGAAAUCCCUUGACACAUUCUUGACAAGGAGGAAAAGGAAAAAGUCUCAAUGAUAGAGAGAGAGAAAGUUGAAAGAAUCUUUUCACUCUUAAACUUUGAGAAGAUAAUGAAAUGAAAAUCUAGAAACAAGUUACCUCCCUUUUUAUAGGCAUGAGGAUUUACUAUUUAAGCUCGGACUUUCGGAUAUUAAUUCCAUCCAUCACGCCUAACUUGCCAAACAUGCCUAACCGCACGCUAGGAUCCUACGAUGCAUGAUCCUAACGGGCUGGGGGGCUAACUGUUGGGGUCAAAAACGGUUACGACGGAAUUACCACCCGAAAAUCCUCGGAGAUCGUAUUUCCGAAAGAGNNNNNNNNNNNNNNNNNNNNNNNNNNNNNNNNNNNNNNNNNNNNNNNNNNNNNNNNNNNNNNNNNNCGGUCGCUACGUAGCAACCGAGCUCGAGCCAAAGUUCGGUCGCUACGUAGCGACCGAGCAUUCGUCCCGCUCGGUCGCUACGUAGUGACCGAGCACUCGUCCUGCUCGGUCGCUACGUAGCGUUCGGGCUCGAGCCAAAGUUCGGUCGCUGUGUAGCGAUUGAACCCUUCCGAACAUCGGUACGACACCAAUCCAUGCAUUCUCGUCAAACCUUCGAAUGCUAUCUCCCGAAGACCGUAGCAAGCUCAGUCCAUGUUUUCCGCUAUUCUAGCUCAUCGAUCAAACUUCGCGGAUUAGAAACCGCGGAAAAUUCGUAGUAAACGUGUCGGGUCAGAAGACACCGUUUUUGUUAUUUCGAGCUGCGUCUCAAUUAGGUUUAGCCGUCUUAGGGUUACUAGAACUAGGAAUCUCGCCGACAGCUCUCGAGCCCAGGCUUAUACCUGGUGCCAGCCUAUGUUUUCAUAGGCGUAAGCUGAAAGAUCUGUCAGUUCCUUUUGCAUUGACUCUACCGUCUUCUGUAUCAGCUGCUCGGCGAUUGGUAUAGACUCGGCGUCGAUCGAUGCGAUUAUGUGUUUGUUGGUCGAUCUCGGCGAGUUGCCGUCGAUCAAUUUCGCUUUUGUCUUGUCGAUCAUUGCUGAUAUCUGGUGUUGAGCUGCGAGUUGCCUCUGAAUGGCUCUGACUUCUUUUUGUAGCCAUUCUGCGUGGUUGUCUAGUCCACUGAUUUUGUUGUCGAAUGGAAAGUAGAUGUCAUCGCAGCGUUUGUCAAGUCGUUCCUCCAUGGUGUCUAGAUCAGUGUAGAUCUUGGAUGUGAUCUUGUCAACCUCUGCUGCUGUGUAAGGAAGUAACUCCACAGGUUUCUUGCCAUCGAUCCAAGGCCCUCGUAGCCUGUCGAUCGAUGCUGAUUUUGCCUGCAAAAAACUUUGAUUAGUAAUGUUCUCAAUAUCCUUUUGGGCAUGAAGUAAUUGACUAGACAAUUUGUUUAAAUCUAUCAUGACUGGUGAUAUAAAGCGGUCAUGCAUAUCCUCGUAAGUCCUCAGCCUCUCAUUCAUGGCUGAGACUUUAGCGUCGAGCGAUGUGAAGGUACACAUGUCGAUCGAUGUGGCUGGUUGUUGGUCCUUCUUGCGAAUGGUGUCCAGAUCUUGCUGUAGUAGCUCGAUUUUAGUGCUUAGCCAGUCCACGUUGUUGUUGAGAGGGCAGUAAACGUCGUUUAUCCUCGUGUCGAUGUAUGAGACUUCCCAUUCAUCCCUGUGUUGUGUUGAACAUUGCGGUUCUGCAGGGAUCUGAGCUGUAGGAAGACUGACGUCGAUCGAUGUUGCAUGUGGUGCGUCGAUCGAUGCUGAGGUCGUAGCUUCCUUCUCAAGUUGCUGACGUAAACUCUCAAUUUCUGUCCUCAUUUCUGCCAUACAUCUGAAAAGCUCAUUGUAGCCUCUAUCCAAAGGCUGAUGUGUAUCUUCUACCAAUGUUUUGAGCUCCUCUCCCAGUUUCUCCUGAGCUCCACAAAUACCAAACACCAUCUCAUCGAUUUCAUCUUUGGUGUAGAGUUCUGGUGCCAGUCUUGUGAGUGUGAAGGAAGUGGCAUGUUCUGGAAGACAGAUGUGGCUCUCUUCAAAAAGAGAUGCUCUUUCCAGUAUUUUCCUGAUGUUGUCCUUUGUGACAGGUAUCAUCUCACCAGCUACGCCUCGUGCGUGUCCACGCUCAUCUCUGUAGACUCCAUACUCGUCCCUUUGUUCCCAAGUGAACUUUCUGGCUCCGUACAUGUCAAAAGCGCGGUUCCCAAAUUCAUACCGUCUGUCGAUCGACGUCGGGUCAUCUCUAUCGAUCGACGUUGGUGUUACCCUGUCGAUCGAUGUCUCCGUUGUACCGUCGAUCGAUGCUUGCCCUUUUGGUUGGCGUGAUAGAUCUGGAUUGAUCUCUGUUGUGGCGACUCCUGCGUGGUUGUUAGGAUCUGUUUGAAUGACGUCUGGAGUGCCACGUUGCUGUGAGAAUAGGUUGUCAGGUCCAUUGGCUACUUGAAGGAUGUCUGCUAUGUCCUCUCUGGACACUUGUAAAAUCCUUCCAUCCAUUGCACGUGCGUUGCCAUCUGGGUCCCUGAAAAUACCAAAUUCAUCAGGUGUUAGAAAACCGUAAUCAAUGUUUGCAUAAUCAUUCAAUUUAGAAAUAGAAAGAUUAGGGUUUAGAGUAGUAUCGAUCGAUGUAGAUACAGUUGCAUCGAUCGAUGGCAGAGUAAUUUCUGCAGAACUUGUGUUCUUGAGAUGAUUGCUCUUCAUGGAUUUUUCUGUUGAUGUAGAAGGAAGAGUGUUCAUCUUUUUUGCUUGUGUGUUUGCUCUGAUGUGUGUAGGUGGUUUCGGAGGUGCAAAACGAUUUAUAUAGGUAUCUAUAAACCUAGUUGGGGAGGGAAUAUUCUCCUGCUCCUGAAUUUUCGCUGCGGCGCGAAUAUCGAUCGAUGUUCCUUUACGGGUGUCGAUCGAUGUGAGCGGUUGUUUUGCUGGACGAGGGUGGGUAUCGACCGAUGUGGAGUGCACAGCGUCGAACGAUGUUGGGAACGUGUUGGUGAACUUAUGUGUUUCAAGUCUUUCAUCCUGCAAAGACAUUUCUAUUGCACGUUCUUUCCAAUAAUCCUCAUCGUAUUCCUCUGUAUGUUCCUCAUUAGGUGAAGUAAUUACAGUGUCAACUGCAAAACUUUCAUGGAAACCACUGUCUGCCCAACUGCCUAUGGAAUAAUCAUCAUGUCCUCUCUUGCUUGGAGGUUGGAAGGCAAAGUGUUGGUAACAAUGAUUAGGUGAAGCGAAAUGGUCAACUGGGUGCAUUACGUCGAGUGACGUGUUGUUGCGGUCAUCGGUCACCGUUGACUCAUUGGAAUCGAUCGAUGGAAAGGUUGGGGUGUCGAUCGAUUCCGAGUACUCUGUUUCGUACUCCGAUUCAUACUCUGCUCCACAAUGGCAUGCGCCAAUGAAGCCAAGUUCUUUCCCAUAAUCCACAGAAUUAAUGACCUUUCUCUUAGGUCGGAUGGGGUCGUAGUGGAUGUUUGGGUCUAUGAGCGUUAGACACAAUUUGUUUUUGUUCAUGUCACAUACAGCUCCUACUGUAGCUAGGAAAGAUCUUCCAAGCAGAAGUGAGGAGUUCCAGUUAAGCUCGAUGUCUAAGACAUGAAAAUCUACAGGGACAAGGGCAUUACCAAUCAGUACCUCCAGAUCUCUUAUGAUGCCUCCUGAUUGUUUCUCUGAAAGAUCCACGAAGGUGAAGGAUUUUGUUGAGGGUUCGAUGGUCAAACCAAGCUGGUCUGCCAUGAUCCUAAGGAGGAUACUAACUGAUGCUCCUGUGUCACACAUUGAAUGGGGAAAUUCAACACCCUUGACUAUGCAUGGUAUUGCAAACUUCCCAGGAUCACUCUUCUUCGUCAAUGUGAUCCUGUGUUUCAUCUUCUCUCUGACUUGAUGAAACAUUCUCCUAAUGUCCUCCUCAGUUACCUUUGUUUCUCUGAAGAACAUCCACAACCGGUGUGUGAAGUAAGCUUCAUCAAAAGGUUUUUCGAUUGGGAUUCUGAGGACUCGUUUAGUGAAACCAUCCAUCUCCUUAUCGUUAGCUUCCCUCUUAAGGUUUUUAGGAAUCUUCUCCUUUCUUUUCCUUAACCUUCUCCCUUCAGAUUCUUGUUCUUGUAGAACUGAUUCUGGUGAACUAUUUAAAGGGUUGGAUUUUGGUUCGGGUGGGUUUGCUAAUGGUUUAGGUGGUGGUAUGAGUGCAUUGAUGUAAUCAUUAUCGAUUGAGGGUAACCGCACUCGGUAUGUCAGAGGUGCCUGUCGAUCGAUGGUAGGUGUGUUUUGACGAUCGACGUCGGACUCACUCUAUCGAUCGAUAGUUGGCUCAACCGGUCGAUCGAUUUUUUCAUAGAAAGGGGAGGGUGGGUGAGGAUGCUUAGCUGUGAAUUCUUCAUGACUUAGAAUUCGAACCGCAUUGCAUUCAGUCGGUUUGCCAGACGACGUCGAUCGAUGACUAGAGUAAUCCGUCCAUCGAUCUUCAUCAUGGUCUGUCGAUCGAUGCGAGUUCAUCGACAUCGGUCGACACCAUUGGGAUCCGCCGAGACUCAUGGAGCUUUCGAUUUCGAAAUCUCCUUCCUCAAGCUUUUCAUUUCUCACCACUUGCCAGAAUUCAUCAUCUAUGAUGGCAUUUACGUGGUGUUUCCCUUUGUCGGCUCCUGCUUCUCUAGCGAAAGCUUCUUGCCUCUUAAUAGUCUCGCCCGUCUGAAUUACUUGGGUUUCAAGUUUUCUCACCUGAGUCCCUAAGGUCUCGAUUUUGGUGUUCAGAUUGUUGUAGGCAGAGUCUAUCUUACCGUUGAAAUCCACGGUGAUUUGUUGUUGUCCCAACAGUACUCGAUCAAGCAUUUCUUCGAUCUUGCUUUCCUGAGUCUGGGGUGGUGGAUUUUGAUAGUAAGAGUUCGAGUAGCUCUUGCUGUUGUUGAAGGGUUUUUGAAAUUGUGAACUUUGGUUACUUCUUUGGCCAUUUCCAAAGAAGUUUCUGUUUCCGCCCUGGUUUCCAAAUUUUUGGAAUCCGGUACCUCCGAUGUAGUUCACAUCUUCUUCUCCUUCUGUAUCUGCUACUUCUCCUUCAGCUGAACAGACUUGCUUCCUAAGAAGCUCGUGCACCACAUCUAACUUAGCUCUUACUUCGUCCAUCUGUUCCUUCCCGAUAGAGGCUACAGACUUCUUCCGUUCAGAGUCAGUGUUUUUGGUGCUGCUGCUGUUAGCAAGGUUUUCGAUAAGUCUCACAGCUUCCAACGGAUUCCGAGUAGUGAAGUUUCCUUCACUCGCCGUAUCAAGAGCCAUUUGAUACUGUAAGGCGAGACCUCGGAAGAAAGUGCUUAGCAGCUGCACUUCGUUAAAUCCGUGGUGUGGACAGUCUCGCUGGAAGAACCUAAAUCUAAUCCACGCAUCUUUGAAGGACUCUCCAGCCUUCUGCGAGAAUGUGGAAAUUUUGUUCCGAAGUUCUUCAGCGCGCGCCUCAUCGAAGAAGUUUCGUAAGAAAGCAUUCUUGAUGUCGCUCCAGGAUGUUAAAGAUCCUGUGGGUUGCUGCCUAAGCCAGUGCAUCGCUUCUCCAUUCAGCGUGUAUCUGAAGAGCUUGCACAGCAGGUAAUCUUCGGGGACUCCUUCCAUCCGAAUAGCAGCGAUUAGAUCCUCGAACCGUUCCAAAUGGUCCAUAGGAUGCUCGUGCGGUAACCCAGAGUAGGGUAUCUGCGACACGAGAGUGUAGUAUUGAGGCUUCAGCUCGAAAUUCUGCUUCUGGAUCUCCGGAAGUCGAAUAGCUGAUCUGUUGGAAUAGUACUCAUCUGGGCGAUUGUAGUCGGCCAGUGGUUUCGAUCGAGCGUCCUCAUCUACAGGUUGAGCAGCUCCUGUAGCAUCAGCAUCAGGGAUUACAGUUCCCUGAGCAUCUAUUUUCUGACCUGUUGCAUUACGCAGAUGACCGGCCUGGUCAUACAGGUUUCCGUUCUCAUCCUGAGUUAGAAUAAUAAUGUUUACCAUUUUUGACGACACGGUAUCGAUCGACGUACGCGGUGUAGUAUCGAUCGUUGUCGAACGAUUUGGAUCGAUCGACGAUGACGGUCUGGUGUCGGUCGACGGUUGAUUGUGCGUAUCGAUCGACGACGAAGUGGUUGCGUCGAGUGAUGUGGUACGUUGACCUCUACGGAUGGUGCGUUCCAAAUGAGCAGGAUCGUCUGAGAACAGCAAGUCUUUCUCCUUGUUGCUUCUGGUACCGCUGGGCAUGCACCUGAAAAGACAAGAAAAAGANNNNNNNNNNNNNNNNNNNNNNNNNNNNNNNNNNNNNNNNNNNNNNNNNNNNNNNNNNNNNNNNNNNNNNNNNNNNNNNNNNNNNNNNNNNNNNNNNNNNNNNNNNNNNNNNNNNNNNNNNNNNNNNNNNNNNNNNNNNNNNNNNNNNNNNNNNNNNNNNNNNNNNNNNNNNNNNNNNNNNNNNNNNNNNNNNNNNNNNNNNNNNNNNNNNNNNNNNNNNNNNNNNNNNNNNNNNNNNNNNNNNNNNNNNNNNNNNNNNNNNNNNNNNNNNNNNNNNNNNNNNNNNNNNNNNNNNNNNNNNNNNNNNNNNNNNNNNNNNNNNNNNNNNNNNNNNNNNNNNNNNNNNNNNNNNNNNNNNNNNNNNNNNNNNNNNNNNNNNNNNNNNNNNNNNNNNNNGAACCAUUCACAUUUGAAGAGGACGCAUUUUAGCUUCAAUAACCCCGGAAAUUCCACUUCAAUAAUCUCCUGCAAGAUCCCGUAAAAGUCUGUUUCACCUUUCACACAUAUUCCGUAGUUACUCGUUGCCCGAUGUCUUCCAUAUUCGUAUGUGUGAAAGGUAAAUCCUCGUGUGAAAUACAUAGGUGAUGUGGUGACCUUUGCAACUGGACCUUGAACCAAUUCGUGAAACCAUACGGGAUAAUAAGGAUCGUCAUAAUCAACCUGCACAAAGCAGUUAUUCUUAAUUAAUAUUGAAGUAUCAAAACACUUACUUAAUUAAUUAAUGUAUGCGAUAUAUUACGUAUCUGUGAUUUUAACCACUUGACAAAGUGCUUAUCUUUACGUGUGUCCACAUCAGUUGCAGAUAUUCCUGGUAUUGCUUCUUCAACUUGAGAUACAAACAUGCUGCAAAUUAAACAAAUAAUCAAGUCAUACAUAAUUAACUUCAAUUCAUAUAAUUAACAUUCACAAAAAUAUUUACCUUUCAAAGUAACGUGUCACUGCAUCCUCGCAGUUGAGCAGAAUAUAAGUGUGGGCACUAUGUUUAUCCUCUUCACAUGACCACCAUACUUCUUUCGUUUUACCACCAAACCGUGCAAUUUCGCAGAAAAUGUCAGGAACACCAUCAAUUGGAUAUGAUGCCGGUACUCCACCAUUAUCAUAUAUUCUAGGAACUCUUUUUCUCGUACGAACAGUUGGAGCAAAGUAGUAUGAUGUGAAGUUAGAUGUUUCAGCUGUCAAACUCCCCGCAACUAUUGAACCUUCCACCUUUGCAAGAUUUCUUGCUUUCCCCUUCAAAUGUUUCAUCUAUCGCUCAUACGGAUACAUCCAUCCGUUGUGAACAGGUCCACGAAGCAAUGCUUCAUACGCUAGGUGGACAACUAGAUGCUCCAUGAUGUCAAAAAAUGAAGGAGGAAAUAUCUUCUCCAGGUUGCACAAUAUGAUCGGAAUGUUAUGAUGAAGUUGUUCGAUGACUUCUUCCUUGAACGUACGUGUGCUAAGAUCUCUGAAAAAAGCGUUGAUGGCUGUAUAUUGCAAAAGUAAUCAAAUUAAUAACAUUUCAUAACAUAUGUAUAUAUAUUAACGUUUUAUAAUUACCUGCAAGUGCUUCAUGGACAUUUGCUGGAAGGAGCUCGGCAAAAGCAAAUGGAAGUAGUCGUUGCAUAAACACAUGACAAUCAUGACUCUUCAUUCCGGAGAACUUUUGACCUCGUUCAACACAUCUUGACAGAUUUGAAACAUAACCAUCAGGAAACUUAACUUCUGAUGCAACCCAGUCAAACAAGGUUGUUUUGGCUUCUGAUGACAACCGGAAGAUGGGAACAGGAACGUUUCCAUUGCUCUUGAUAUGUAACUCACUUCUUGAGCAAAUAUCAGGUAAGUCCAUCCUUGACUUUUUGUUAUCUUUUGUCUUCCCAGGGACGUUAAGUAAUGUAUUCAUGAUGUUCUCAAAAAAGUUCUUCUCAAUAUGCAUGACAUCCAGAUUGUGGCGUAAGAGAAGAUCCUUCCAAUAGGGUAGCUCCCAAAAUAUACUCUUCUUAUGCCAAUUGUGAGACACACCAUACCCAUCAGGCAUAUUUCCAGGAACAUGCCAAUUUCCUCCAACUUUAACUGUUUCCUGAGCUCCGUAAUAAUCAAUGUCUGCUUCGAUCUGCUGGCCGGUGAGAUAUGGAGGAGGACCGUCUCUGACAAUUUUUUUGUGCCGAAACAAUGUCUUAUUUCUUCUGUACGGAUGGGCAAGUGGAAGAAAGCGACGAUGACAAUCAAACCAACAACUCUUCCUACCAUUCUUCAGUUGAAAAGCAUCCGUCGAUCCAAGACAAUAUGGACAAGAUAAUCUUCCAUGUGUUGUCCAGCCAGACAACAUCCCAUAAGCAGGGAAAUCACUUAUCGUCCACAGCAGAACUGCUCGCAUCGUAAAAUUGUUUUUCAAGGAACAAUCGUACGUCCUCACCCCUUCUGACCACAAUUGCUUUAGCUCUUCUAUCAACGGUUGAAGAAAAACAUCAAGAGACCGUUUUGGAUGCUUCGGCCCAGGGAUUAAUAUGGUCAAAAAUAGAAAUUCUUGUUCCAUGCACAUAUCCGGCGGUAAAUUGUACGGCGUAAGAAUGACUGGCCACAAAGAAUAUUGUCUACCAGACAUUCCAAAUGGACUAAAUCCAUCGGUGCAUAACCCAAGAUAGACAUUCCGAAUAUUUGUAGCAAAAUCUGCGUGUACCUUGUUGAAAUGUUUCCACGCUCUUGCGUCUGAUGGAUGUGCAACCUCACCAUCUCUCUGGACAUGUUCCGCAUGCCACCUCAUCGACGCAGCAGUCCUCUCAGAUUGAUAUAAUCUUUUCAAUCUGUCUGUAAUUGGUAGGUACCACAUCCUUUGGUACGGUACCCUAUUCCUCCCACGGCCUUGCGGUUUGAAUCGUGGUUUUUUGCAGAAUCGACACUCUUCUAACUUGUCAUCUUCUUUCCAGUAGAUCAUGCAGUUGUCGAUGCAAACAUCAAUCAUCUCCGAAGGCAACCCAAGACUAUAAACCAAUUUCUGAAUCUCAUAAUAAGAUUCAGCAGACACGUUGUCUUCUGGCAAAUACUCUUUAAACAACUCCGCCCAUGCAUCCAUGCAAUUCUCAGGUAAAUUAUGAUCCGUUUUAAUAUUCAUCAUCCUAGCUGCUAGAGACAAUUUAGAGAGACCUUCUCUACAACCAGUGUAGAUUGGUUGAUUUGCAGCAUCUAGCAUUUCAUAAAACCUUUUUGCAUCCAAAUUAGGUUCUUCUACAUUUCCAGUUCCAUCAGCUAUUGUUGUAGUUGUUUCUAAAAAUGCAUCACUAAUCAUAUCUUGAACCCUAUCAUGAUCUACCAUCUGCUCAUGAUCUUGAUGAUAAUUAUAUUCAUUAUGCAAAUGAUUCGGUUCUUCACUAUGAUGACCAUCCUCAAAAUUAUUAUUACUACUACUAGCUUCAUUUCCCCCAUAACCCUCUCCAUGUUGAUACCAAAUGUAGUACUGUGGUGUAAAUCCUCUGUUUACUAAAUGCUUCCAUACAGUUUCACUACGUGCAAAUUUUGAAUUCUUGCAUUUCCGACAGGGGCAGAACAUCUUACCGCUUUCCUGUGUGAUCGGUGUACAGCCCGCCUGGUGCAUGAAUGUCUCUAGCCCGCUCAGAAAUGCGUUCGUCACCCUCCCGUCGGAAUCUUUGUGCAAAUACAUCCAACUCCGUAACUCGUAAAUACUACCGCCACCGGCCAUUUUUUUCUUAGAUUUUUUUUUGAAAUCUUUUUUUUUCUGAUUUUUUUUUUGGAUUUUUUUUCUCCCGUUUGUGUGUUGUGAGGAAGAGAGUUGUGGGAAAUGACAUAUAUAUAGAGAAAUUUUCGAGUUGGGUAGUUGAAAUAUAACAACGAUUUUACAAGGAAUGUUUUACAUGGAUUUUACAUGGUUUUAACAUAAUAUUUACAACGACUUUACGACGAAAUUAGGUAAGUUAAAGCACAUUGAAUACACGUUUUCACCUAAAUAUAACGGUAACAUGUUUCGUUGUAAUGUCGAUGUAAUGAUUACGACGUAUUUCUCAUUCCACGUACUUUCGUCGUAAACUUACAUGGAUUUUACGACGAAUAUUAUUCGUCGUAAAUUUACAUGGCGUUUACGACGAAAGUUGGAUUCCUCGUAACUGCGUUGUAAACACCAUGUAAAUUUACGGCGAAAUAUUUUCGUCGUAAAUCUUCGUUGUUAUGGGCACGUUUUCUUGUAGUGAUAAUAUUUAACAGAACUUUUCGAAAUAGCGAAAAACAUAUUAGUUUGAUUAAAAUAUUUUAUGUAGUGUUUAAUUAUUAUAAAAAAAUCAAUAAUUACACCAAUUACUACAAAAUAAGAAAAUAACUAAAAUUUAUUAAAAAUAUUUCAGUUCUUAAUAUAAAUAUUUAACUUAUUUUCGAAUAUGUUUUAUAAUAUAUUGACAUCUUAUAAUGUUAUAAAACAAAUUCUAGUAUAAUUUUUAUAUAACAUAACUAUUUAUAAUUAAAAAUUAUAGUUUUAUAUUUAAAAGUUUAAAUGGCAAUAUCAUAUAACUAAAUAAAUCAUUUUUCAUUUAAUAAAAAAAAUUUUGUAUUUUUGUCGGACGUAUUUUUUUUUCAUUCCACAACUUUUAUUAAUUGGCAAAAAAAUCUUAUGGAAUCACAUUUUAAUUGUGAUUCUGCCAUCCCAUAAGGGUACCAAUCGGGGCUUAAAAUACCAUAACCAAAAGCUAGAAUCAUACUAUGAUGUUUGAGACGCAAAAUUAAUAUUACAUGCUUUGAUUUUUGGUGUAAAUGAGUUACAGAAUUUGGUACAUAAUAUUUUGGUAAUCUAACUUGUUAAAAAUACAUUUUCUUGUAAUAAGAUGUUAAAUUUAUUAGAUAUAAACUUAGUUUUCAUAUAUCAUCUUUGAACUACGCGUCUGUGGUCGGGUGGUCAAAGCGUUUCGUGGAUCCCCAAGAGACCUAAAUUCGAAUUCGCACCACGCCAGAUUUCCACGCGCGUAGCCACCUGGACUUUCACAUUCUCUCUCCAAAAAAUGGAUUACUAUUUUUUUUUAUGUAUCAUCUUUGUAACAUGUCACAGAAGUACUAUAUUAACGGAAUCCCUAUAUUAUGAUGAGUUCCCGGACAAUAAGAUUCACUUAUCUCUUUGUAGUGUUAACUAAGAGUUUUUGUGUAUGGUGCGCAAAAAUAAUAAUUUUAAUUAUGAUAUUAUUUUCUUUUCUUUAAGUUAGUUUAUAUUUUGAUUUUUUUAUUUUAUAUUUAUUGGUUUGGAAAAAAUACAACCAUAUAUAUAUGACAUUAUAUAUAGUAUUGUUUAACUACUUAAAUUUGAUUUUUUUAAAUGCAAUAAAAUUAGAAUUAAAUUUUAUAAGAACAUAUAUUUUAUCUUAUAUUUAACGGUUAUUCAUUUUAAAUAUGUCUCUUUAAAUAUGUAUAUAUUUAAAUAUCUAAACUCUUAAAAAGUUUAGAUUUUUUUUUUGUUUUAGUUAAAUUUGUGAAAAUUAAUUUGAUAAUUAACCUAAUAACUGAUAAAAUUAAAUAAGAUUUCAGUCCUUUAACUAUCAACAAAAAAUUAUCUGGUUAAUAUUGAUUUAGUUUUAUAUUUGUUAAAUCACACUUACAAAUAAUUUUGAUAGUAUACAUUUAUUUAUGCAAAAUAUAAUAUAUAAGUUGAUAUAUAGUUUUAUACUGUAAUUCUAUUUAGUUUAAUUUUUACUAAUGUGACAUAUUUUAAAAUUAAUUUUUAUUAGUAUAUAUACAUAACAAUAUUAAUAUUUGUUUAAAAUUUACUUUAAUAGUAAAUUAGAGUUAUUAGUCAUUAUCAUAUUAAAAAACAGUUGUCAAAAACAUAAAAUCUUAUAACGGAAAAUUAUACAUGUCAUAAUUAAAUUGGUCCCACAGUGGUUAGAAAAAAAAAAUCGUCUUUGGGAUAGUUGAUUAGAGUCAUGCAUUGACUACAAACAAGGAUGCUAAUCAAUUGGGUCUACAUUGGGCCAAAAUCAUAUAUGGGCCGAGCAUAUCACACUAAGCAAUGACAUUCAAAUAAAGUAGGUGAAAUGAACUCAUUAGACUCAUGAUGUACUAACCGACAUCUCUUAAAAAUUUAUCCAGCAUGAAAUUGGUGUUCAUAUUUUAUGAGGUAGAGUAGAUAUGAGUUUCCAACAACACAUUAGCAAAUUUUAACAUCUUAUUACAAGAAAAUGUAUUUAAUCACCCAACUAGACACAUUUAAAGAUACUAGGGGUUGGCCUACCCUACGGACGGGUGAGUUUACACUAAAACUAUUUUAUGUUUAAGUGUAUUGUAUUUUAAUUUUAUAAAAUAUUUAAAAUUUUACUUUAUAUUGAAAAUAAUAAAUAUUAUCUGUUUUUAUUCUAAAAUUAUAUUUUAAACUUUGUUAAAUUUUGUUGGUUUGAGGUGAAAAACCACUAAAAUUGUUUUGUUAAAGAACACAAAAUUAUUAAAUCAGAAAAUUAAAGAAAAUGUAAUGAUUUAUAUUUCUAUUUGAUUUAUGUUUGAAUUUGAUAUAUUUGAAAAAAAAUAAAGUAAGAAUAACUAGUAUUUCUCUUAUUUCUAAGAGUAUCAGAUUUUAAUAUUAUUACAAUAACUAAUUUCUCACAAUAAUAAAUUAAUACACCCACCUCCAAACUAAAUCAAUUGAAAAUCAAAUGUAAUGUGAUAAAAUUAUAAAAAUUUAUAAUUUAAAGUAAUAUAUAAAUAGUUUCAAUAUUGUCUUAGUAUAUAUUAUGUAACAACAAAUGAUGUUUUAUAAUAUAUAUUUGUUUCAUUUUAUAUUACAUUUUUAAUUUAUAAUAAAAUUUUCUUUAAUUUUUAGUGUUUUACUAAUUAUUUUUGUAAAUUAUUUUAAGCAUUUGUUGAACUUUUUUAUAAAAACAAUUUGUUGAAAAUUUUGCUCAUACUAUUUGAAAAUAUUUUAUAGAUUAAUAGUGUUAUAAAUUAAUAAAGUAUUAUAUUUCUAACAUAAUUUUACUUGAGUUUUAUACCCUAUCUUAUUAAAUAAUUUACUUUGAGUGAACCAAACAUAAUUUAACCAAAAUAAACUAAAUGUAGUGUAACCAUUAAUAAUCUAAAAAUUAAGAUGAACCAGACUGCGUAUAAAUAUUUUCUGAAAAUUAUUUUUUUCUUAAAGAAAUUACUAAAUCAUUUAGUCUUUCUAGUGUUGGCUGUAUUGAAUGAAAGUAUAUAAUUCAUAUCUAAUCAAAUAUCUCAUUCUUAGUUUCCACAUAGUAGCAACGAUAACAUCGUAAACACAUAUCUAUAUAGUCACCUAAUUAAAUGGAACAAAACAAUAUGUUGGGUUUAUAUUCCAGCCCAAAACAGUCAAAGAAUAUGUCACCAAGCAAACAAUUAUGCACACCAAAACUGCAGUGUUUCUUGUUUUGAAGCUUAGAAUGAUUUUUUAAAAGAUUUAAAGAGAGCUAUGAAAAUCAGAAGCAUACCCUAGUUUCAUAACAAUCCCCAAAAACAGAGGAGAAAUCCUAAUUGGAUUUCACAAUGAUGACCUCGAAUGUUAUUUUCUCUCUUUUUCUGAUCAAAAUAAAAACUAUGACAACGAAUGUUUGUUUCUCCACACACAACAACUCACACACUUGGGAAAUUACAGUAAAAAUGACCACUAUUGCAAAACUUAUUUAUCUUUAUAUUCUCUGCUACAAAUAGAGAAAGCUGAUCUGAAAAUAACAAUCGUUGCAUAAAAGUAUCCCUUAUUUUUCCACCUGAUUCUUCAACUGCUUAUUUUUUUCUCUUUCACAUACACACGACUACGAUUUCGCUUUUACACUGCUGCUCAGAAGUGGAAUACUGGUUAAAAAAACAUCCUAAAAUAGUUAACUUUUGUUGGAGUACAACACCACAUGUUUCUUCUCUUUACCGCCAUUUCAUCUUAUGUCAUCGCCACCAUCUCUGUCAACAUUCUCCUUGCAAUCCUCCAAACCCAACGUUGCGGCCUAUCCCUCGGCCCAGUCCUAUAAUUUAUAACCUAAGUGCACAUCCUCUGUUCCAGCUAAGAGACAUGUAUUUCCAGAGACAUAGAUAUAAGAGCCACCUGAAAAGUCCAAGUUGGCAUUUCCUUUCUUGUAUGAGAUCGUCUAAGUCAUUAUUGGCUACAAAUGUUGGGAAAUAAUUCACUAUCUUUUAACUUAUAUACGCUACCAAAAUAGUGUCGGAUGCUUAAAAAUAAGUGCUAAUGUGGCAAUUACCUAUUAUUGCAAAUUCCUCCACCGCAUCAUGUAUCCGAUUCUGAAUAUCUUUGAAAAGUAAGAGGUUAUUAAUUAAAGAAACAUAUGUAAUGACGACAUAAGCAUCUAACUUUAGGAAAUAAUAAUGUGAUUCCAACUACACUGACUCCAUGUAACUUUUAAGCAUCUUACCACACCAAAGAAUCGUUGAAGAACCAGAUGAGGGUAACAUUUAUUUAUGCUUCCAUGUUGUGUAUGUCCCCUCAGUGGCCAAAAAAAAAAGAACUAUUUACUGAGUUCAUAUGUAUAAAAUUUAACAUAUAAUAAAUUAGACCACGGAUUGUUUAUAGUCAUUUAAUUGCUUACUUAAAAUUCAGAAGAGCUUCACAGUCAAAGUCUUUAACCAACCUGGCAUGAAUCACACAUAAUAAAUCACAAACCUGUUCGUCAAUAAUGAGCAUCUCCAGUCCAAUAAAGGUCCGUCCUUUUGCUGCGUACGUAAUUUUUUUUUUUUUUUUUUUUUUUAAUAUUCAUCCCAAACUGGCAUUGGUUAAGUGGUUACAAUAAUAAAAUUGGACCGAAAAACUAAACCUAGUAAACCGAAGUAAACCGGGUACAAACAAAACCCUAGAUUCCACGCGACUGCAACCGUCUUCAAGUCGUGCCGCCGUUUCCUCCGGAGGUUCUGUUCGCCGCCUUCAACAGCGGGUGUCUCGAGCUCUCCCGGUCUGUUGAAACCACUCCGACGGCAACCACAUAAAGACGAUGGGGAGCGCGACCCAAAGAAGCCUCCUGUGAACCUCGCCGGAGCUGUAGAGGUUGUCGGGACAAAACACAUCCACUGGCCAAUCUUGACGCACCGUGCAUACCCACCAAUGACCGAUGAAACCGAGACCAUGAAGCUUGACUUCUGCGACAACCGGAAAAUCCAGAUCUGACCAAUCUCUCUUUAUCUCUCACCGUCCUCUAGCAAGAUCUCGGUCUCCACACCACGCACAACCGGAGAAUGAGAGUGAGUUCUGGUGACCACAUGCAACCACAACCGCAUAAAGUACUCACCGGAAAACAAAAAAAGCGGAAAUGACGGAGCCCUCUCACACCGCCGACGCAGAGGUCGGACGGCGGAGAGGCAAAACCAAGACUGCUUUAAGAAAGAGGUUGGAGAAAAACUAUAGAAUGACUCCCAUAGAAAUGUAUGAGUCGGAAUUGUAAUUCGGAUCGAGAUGGACGUGGUGGGAUGUGAAAUACAAAGCGACAUGAGAAAAGAGUUUAUAACGAAUGAAGAGAGGGAUGUGAAAGGAAACGAUUAAUUGCAGAGGAGGAUGGGUAACAGAGAUGGAAGAAGAUGAAACUGAGAAGACGAUUGAAUGGAAUGAGUUAGUAGACCGAUGUUUUAGAGGAUUAGGGUUUGUCAAAUGUUUUUCACCUGGGCCGUAUAUGAGGCGCAGAGAAUUGAUUUCCGGAGAUCCAAGAUCCCAAAAGCACGAGACCCGAUUUCUUUUAAGAAUUGGCUAAGCAUAGAUACGUGGCAGAAAAGAUUUCUCUUAUUGGUUGAUUUAAUUAGCUGACGUGGACAUCCUCUUCUUUUAUCAUAUUUCCCUUUUAUUACUUGUUUGAUAUAACAUUCAUAACUUUUGUUUGAAAUUCAUUUAUAAUUCAUCUGGACUUUGUCUUAUCUUUGAUCCUGUCUAACUGUCUUGACAUCUUUGAGCUUUUCUUCGUCUUAUAUCUCUUUUGAUUACAUACAACUUUAUAUAAUAUAAGGUUUAUAUGUAUAUAUAUUACUGUAUUUUUGAAUCUCAUUUCUUGAAAAUGGAUCCAAUAAUGAAAGGAGGAAGCAUAGAGAAAGAAAACAGCUCUGUAUGGUUAGUGAAGGCUCCUUUCCGUAUCUUGAUCAUGGCACGUGACGCCUACAUACGCAGCAUUACGUCAUGUUCCGGUACCGGAGUCCUUACCGGCGGUGGAUCUUCUGGUUUUGGUCAGCUUUCAGGGAACUUCCAAAUCUGCGAUCCACCUAGUACCGCCCUUCCUAGAAGCUUUACCUUAUCGUCCCCGGUACGUGAUCAAGGCUGCCUGACAGGUGGUGGACAGCUUACGACGGCGAUGAGACAAUCGUUUCCGUUGGAACGCCGGAGGAAUCUAUAGUAUACAUAUAUAAAUAUAAUUAAAUUUUAAAUAUUUUAAAUAAAUAGUAAGUUCGGAUCCGGAUCCGGAAAUUUCAUUAUCCGGAUCCGCCGAAUCCGUAAAAUCAAGAUCCGGAUCCGGAUCCGAACCUCCGGAUAUCCGUUUUUUCGGAUCUGAUCGGAACAAAUUCUGGAUCGGAUAACAGAUCUCGAAUAUAAGUCUAUGCCUAAUAUGUACCAUAGUAUUAAACUAUUACGAUAGAUACAGUUUAAGUUUAAAAAAGGAAGAAAAUAUUAAUUGACCAACCAAUCAUUUGUUUGACCGAGUAAACGAAGUUGCAAAAACAAAAAGAGGUUUACUUUAGUCAAAAAUACAAUUUUCAACUCAACAAAACUAUUUUUUUUUUAAUUAUUGAUGAGGUUUGUAUUUUCAGUUGAGAAAAAUCCGGAUAUACGUAAAGCUUCAGAACAAAGCAAAUAUGAAAAAUUAAUAUCAGUUAAAAACAAAACAAAUCAUAAAUACCAAAAUUUUAAGAACCGGACAUCCGCUCCGCUCCGACAACUAUACAAAUAGUCAAAUACAUAUAUAUAUUGAUUAAAUAUAGAGUUUUAAAUGUAUGAGUUUAUAUAAUUGUUAUUUUAACAUAUGAUACAAUAAAUUAUAUUCACAUGAUUACUUAUAAAUGUCGUAAAAUAAAAAAUAAUCAAAUUUUUAUGAUAUCUAUAAAUUUUUUCUUAAGUUUGUCUUUCUUAUUACUAAUUUUAAAAUUUACAAACAUAUAGUUCCAGUUUUCUUUUAUUUUUUAUUUUAUAUAUUUUGUAAAACUAUUAAAAAAAAAACAUUAUCUCAUUUUUUUCUAGAUUAUUUAAAUUAACUAAAACGAAAGGAUAUAUUCGUAAGUAUUCGUAUAUAUCCGCAAAUAUCUACAUAUUUUCCGGAUAUCCGUAUUUUUCCGGAGCAAAGCAAAUUCGAAAAUUUUGAUAUCCGUAAUAUCGAAGCAAAUCUCCAAAAACCCGGAUAUCCGAUCUGUACCCAGCCCUACUUUGCAGUUUAUAUUAGUUUAUUCCAUGCUCUGUUUUACUUAUUUGAUUAGAUUAUUGAGUAUAUUCUGGUUUUGCAAUACAAACUGCAUCUUGGGGAUUAUGUUGCUGAGUUAAGCUUCUACACUUAGCAAAUCAUUCACAUUUUACUUCACUAGUGUCAUAGCCAUUGGGAUUAUCAUUGUUGUAAAACUUUUUUUUCAUUUUCAGAGUAAAAAUUCUUUAAAAAAAAUCAGCCCAAAGUAUAUAUAUUUCAUGAUUUCAGUUGUUUUAUACUAUACUCAUCACUGAUAUGAACAUCCCCCUUGCUCCUGUAUUCUAUUCGCCUUCCCUUUGCUUUAGUGAAGUAAACCAAUUGAUUAUCUUCUCGUGUUGGUCUUGGAGGUUACAUUAUUCAAUUUAAUGGGCCUACGAUAGUUAUAAUCUUAUAUUUUAGGGAUUUAGGUUAAUACCUAGUUACCUUGUACGAUACUCUUUGUAUAUAUACCCUCUUUGGGUUAAUGAAUAAUGAAAGACAUUACAUUAUAUUUUAUGGUAUCAGAGCCAAAGAUCUCUUUGACCUAAAUUUUUUUUUUCUUCUCUUUUCGAUCACGAUUACUGUUGAUUAUCUCUUUCUACCUAAUUCUACCUACCUCGUCCAUCAUAAACGAUGUCUGACGAUAACUCUACUGCUACCAAUAUUCCGACAACGCAAGCUGCAUCCAUGCAUGUGUCUCCAUACUAUCUCAGUCAUUCAGACAAUCCUGGAGCUCUUAUUACGUCGGUUCUACUUACUCAUGACAACUAUUCGGAGUGGUCUACGGAGCUUCGUAAUUCUCUGCAAGCCAAGCAGAAAAUGGGGUUCAUCGACGGUACCAUCACGAAACCAGCAGCCGAACCUGAUCUAUCAAGGUGGCUUGCAAUUAACUCUAUGAUCGUCGGAUGGAUACGUACGUCCAUAGAUUCUAAAGUUCGAUCAACAGUAACUCAUGUUCCAAAUUGCUCAAACAAACUGGAUGUAUUGCAAUCUUUACUGAUACUUUGUGUGUCUUACAGGACCGUUUUUCGAGGACUCUGGUUGGAGCAGGUGAAGAACGUGAGGAGGUUUAUUACUUUACGGGUGUUAAAGUGGCACGAGUGCAUGGAGCUUCAACGAAACCUUCUUCUUCAACUCUAUGGCAUCGCAGACUUGGACAUCCAUCAUACAAAGCCUUAUCUACUCUACCGAUUUUUAAAAGUUCUAAGCUAGAUUUUACUACUUCUUCUCAAUGUGACAUUUGUUUUAAAGCUAAGCAAACCAGAAAAGUGUUUCCUGAUAGUCUUAAUAAAGUUAUUUCUCCGUUUUCAUUGAUUCAUUGUGACGUAUGGGGUCCCUACCGAACACCAUCAUCGUGUGGUGCUCUUUAUUUUCUCACCAUUGUGGAUGAUCACUCACGAGCGGUAUGAACAUACCUUAUGCUUUAAAAAUCAGAAGUAGCAUCCCUCCUACGAAACUUCUGUGCCAUGAGUGAUAGACAAUUUGGGAAGAAAGUCAAAACUAUUCGUACCGACAAUGGAACCGAAUUUAUGACUCUUGCUCCAUAUUUUCGUGAUAAUGGAAUCAUACAUCAGACGUCUUGUACCUAUACACCCCAGCAGAAUGGUAGAGUUGAACGGAAACACCGUCACAUAUUGAAUGUCGCUCGCGCUUGCUUGUUCCAGUCGCGCCUACCUGUGGAGUUUUGGGGAGAGAGUAUUUUGGCGGCUGCACACAUUAUCAACCGAACUCCUAUGCUUGUACUAGAUGGCAAAACGCCAUAUGAGAUUCUCCAUGGUGCUCCACCUAUGUUUGAUCAACUUCGUAUAUUUGGUUGUCUCUGUUACGCUCACCAACGACCCCGUGAUAGAGAUAAGUUUAGUACACGAAGCCGCAAGAGUAUAUUCGUUGGUUACCCCUUUGGCAAGAAAGCUUGGCGUCUGUACGACUUGGAAUCUAAUGAGUUCUUCACGGGUAGAGAUGUGGUUUUCUUUGAGGAUAAAUUCCCAGGUAUUGAGGAUUCUGGUUAUGUCUCGCCUCCGGACCUUCAUACUAACCUGCCGCUUGAUGAUUGGUUGCUUAAUGUUUCUCUACAAACAUCCGAGCCACAACCUACACCUUCACCAAUAGCCACAACCAAUAACCCUCCUCCCAUCUCUUCAACAUCCUCUCCGCCACAAACCCCACCUUCUACACCUACUAAUCCUUCUCCUAGUUCUACUACUCCUAAUCCUAACCCGAUACUGACUAAACAACAUCAGCCUACGCCGUCUCCUACAUCACCAUCUGUGUCUCCUACUGCUGAUAAUGAUCAGUUACAGCCAGCUCCGUCUCCAGGUCUUGCUGAGAUACUUGGGCGCGGUCACCGUUCUAAGAAACCUUCUAUUCUACUGAAGAAUUUUGUCACCAAUGCUGCAACCACUACACACCCUUCUCACUUUCUUCCUGCACAAGAUCAGAGUACUCCUAGCACGGUCUCCGGUAAGACACUGUAUCCUAUUGCUGAUUAUAUGUCUACUACUGCCUUUAAUGUUAAACAUCAGGCUUUUCUUUCUGCGAUAACAACGGAUUUUGUUCCAAAAACAUAUAAAGAAGCAGCUAAUGAUCCCCGGUUUAAUGGAGCUAUGAAAACAGAGAUCACAGCCUUGGAAGACAAUCACACUUGGGAUGUCACAACCUUACCAUCGGGUAAAAAGGCUAUCGGCUGUGGCUGGAUCUACUCUAAUAAAUAUAGGGCAGAUGGUACGGUUGAACGACCAAAGACCUGCUUGGUCGCACGUGGAAAUCGCCAGAAAGAAGGCUUGGACUAUAAGGAUACAUUCGCACCCGUUGCCAAGAUGAAUACAAUACGAUUUCUCCUCAAACUUGCGGCUACUAAACGUUGGAAAAUACAUCGUAUGGAUGUUCAUAAUGCAUUCUUGCAUGGUGAUCUGGAAGAAGAUAUAUAUAUGCAAUUUCCUCCUGGUUUUAAAACUACUGAUCCAUCCAAGGUCUGUCGGCUUCGCAAGUCCCUAUAUGGUCUCAAACAGUCUCCCCAAUGUUGGUUUGCCAAACUAAGCAAGGCUUUGUUAUCGUUUGGUUUCACUCAAAGCUACGAAGAUUACUCCUUAUUCUCCUUGGUUCAAGGUGAUGUAUGUCUUCACAUUCUGGUAUAUGUCGACGAUUUUAUUAUUGCUGGCAACGAUAUCUCUACUAUCCAUCGUUUCAAGAACUACCUACACAACUGUUUCAAGAUGAAAGACUUAGGCAAACUGAAAUACUUUCUUGGUCUCGAGAUUGCAUGUGGUCCUGAAGGAAUCUUUGUUUCGCAAAGAAAAUAUGCCUUGGAUAUCAUUACUGAGUGUGGCUUGUUGGGUGCGAAGCCUUGCUUGGUACCUACUGAACUGAAUCAUAAAUUGGCUCUGUCUAAAUCUCAUCUCCUUACUGAUCCUAGUCAAUACCGCCGACUUGUGGGACGUCUCAUAUAUCUAACGUUUACACGACCGGAGCUUAGCUACAUUGUCUACAUACUUUCACAGUUUAUGCAACGGCCGCGACAUGAUCACUGGAUGGCUGCGCUGAAAGUCAUUCGAUAUCUAAAAGGUUGUCCGGAUCAAGGUAUCAUGCUUACAUCUAAUAGUGAUUUAUCCUUGACCGCCUAUUCUGACUCCGACUGGUCAGCAUAUCCUAUUACUCGGCGAUCUCUCAGUGCAUAUGUCGUUUUUUCUUGGGGAUUCGGUUGUCUCUUGGAAAACGAAGAAGCAGCGGAAUGUGUCAAGAUCCUCAGCUGAGGCUGAAUAUCGGUCCAUGGCAGAUGCUACAUGCGAACUGAAGUGGCUCAAGCGUCUCCUGCUGCAUUUUGGUUUCCCUCAUUCUCGACCUAUGCGUUUAUUUUGUGAUAGUCAAGCAGCUAUUCACAUUGCAAAGAAUCCAGUGUUUCAUGAGCGCACCAAGCAUGUUGAGAAUGAUUGUCAUACGGUACGAGAUGCAGUUUGUGCUAAACUACUUACUACCGAGCAUAUUUCUACGAAGAAUCAACCUGCGGACUUGCUAACGAAAGCCUUACCGACCCCUGCAUUUGAGUUUUUAUUAUCCAAGUUGGGAAUUCACAAUAUGACAUUACCAACUUGAGGGGGAGGGGUAAUGGGCCUACGAUAGUUAUAAUCUUAUACUUUAGGGAUUUAGGUUAAUACCUAGUUACCUUGUACGAUACUCUUUGUAUAUAUACCCUCUUUGGGUUAAUGAAUAAUGGAAGACAUUACAUUAUAUUUUACAAUUACGUACACAUUAUAAUUUAACACAUGCCAUAUUUUUCAAAAUUUUAUUUUGAAUGUGGUGAUUAUUGCAACUCGUUUUGUUUGUCAAUAUAAACUUGUUUUGACAGAAGAUGUUUCUUGUACAUUCAAUCUUUCUCUGUUGGUCCUACUUGUGUUUCCGUUUCUAAAGUUGAUCAAUCAUCAUCAUUCUCUGUUAAUAAACAGAGCUCUACAGAUGUUUUGCUUGCUAGUCAGUCUAUCAAGUACGAAAAGAGACGAGAUGGAGAGGGGACAAAAAUUAGGUUAGAUGGCGAGGUGUGCGUUUUAAACCUCAGAGAACAAAGAAAUCUCCAUUUGGCCAGAACUGCUUCAUCACAAAUGGGCCAUGUUACUAGAAACUAAUAAUGUCCAAGAGAUCAGCAGUCAGCGAUUGAACGACGUUUCUUCAACGUGGCUGGUGGCAUUGUAUUGGUUAUGCUUUGUCAAAGACUUAACUCUGAUUAGUUAAGCAUUGCAAUGUGUUGUUCAAACUCUAAAAAAAAUUGUUUAUUGUUGUUAAGCGAAAAAAGAAGUAAUCAUGUACUAAUCAGCAGAUAUAGGCGAAAGAGCAAGUCUAUUGGUUCAUGUCAAAUCGACAUAUUCUCAGAUUGAGACUACAAUAAAACUCGGGAUUUGAGACUACUAUCUUGUGACUAAACUACGUCCAUUUUGAGACUCAUUAGCGACUGCGGAAAAAAGAGACAUGAAGUAGUCCGAAAAUUAUGACAACAUAAAAUCGUCGCCAAAUAGUCGCAGAUUAGCGUCGAAAUUGAGACUAAUAUCCGAAGAGAAAGAGAAAGAACCAAAGUUGAAUAAAAUAAUACACUUUAAACUGAACUAAAUGUAUUAUAUCCUAGAGUCUAACCGGUGACCAAAGAAAUAAAAGAAAACACUACAUUCCUUAAUUUUCCAAAGAAAUGUUACCAUUUAUAAGGAAUUUUUUUUCUUUCUAUUCAUUUUCAUUCUUUUUAUCGUAGAAAGAAAUAAAACAAAUUUGUUCCUCGUCAAAUUUGGUAAGGAAUAAUCAUUCCCCAUCAUUCCUAAAAUUUUAUUUUUUUCCAUUAUUUUCCUAUUUGUUUCUACUGUUCCAAUGAUGGUCACCGGUUAAAGCCUAAAUGAAACUUCAGUUCUCCUAAUUUUUUAAACCAAAUUUGAAUGAAACCACUAACCAACAGUUUUUACCAACGUCGAGUUGGCCCAGUAGUAAAAGGAUUGCAGUUGUAACUACCAUCACUUGGUUCAAUUGACGCUGAGAGAAACUAUUAACAAUGAUUGAGUUCUCAGCAAAGAGUUGAAACCACUUUUUUUUACAUGAUUACCAAAAAAAAAUUCACAAAAAUAUAAAAAAUUCCCAGUCAAAGAUCAAUUAUUUUGCCUUUUUGGAUAAAAUGUUUUAAGAAAAAAUAUUUUGACUAAGCACAGAUGAUUUAAACGGAUUACAUAAAACCAAAAACGAUUAUCUGAUGAGAUUCUGAGAACUGUUAUUUAAAGAAAUAACAAUUCUAAGAAUCCCAAAAGAUGCCCGUGUAUAAACCAUUUUCUUGUAAAGUUCGAGAGGCAUGAAAAAGAGACAAAAGAGAUACAAAAGCAGAGAGAAAAUGGAGAAAGUAAGGUUUGUGAAACGGAUGAGAUAAUGGAUUGAUAUUUAUGCAGCAACUAUAUUGGCAAUUGGGCAUAUCUAAUGUUCUACCAGAUCCAGUCGAACAAAUAGCUGUUGUAUAAUUUUCUUGCGUGCAAUUAGAACUUUCCCAUUAGAGUCAUUGAAAAAGACUACAUAAAGGAUGGUGGGCUGGGAUAAUGUCACCUUUUAAACACAAGAUCCUCGAUGUACAAAUGUGACACAUCUAGUUUUGAACUCAGGGUAUUUUUCUAAACAAUGUAGAGUUUCUCAUGUUUUUGUUGAGUUUGGCUUCUACAUUGAGCAUAUUGUUAGCUUCUUACUGCAUUGGUGCUAUGCCCGUUUGAAGGGAAGAGAAGAGUCAGCUUGAGUUAUUUCUAUACUCAUCCAUGUUGUCUUUUAUUAUCUCUUUUUUUAGUCGAACACUCUACUAAUUAAGCAACUCCUUAAAUCUUCUCAAAUUGGUGUGGGAGGUUACUUUCUUAGUACGAGCAUCUCCAACCCCACUCCAUACAUGAAAUAAUAUUUUAUUUUUUGUUUUUAGCUAAUGUAGAUAGGAAUUAGUGAAAACUUAGUACAAUCCUGAAUGUAAGUAUUGAUAUAUCUUCUUGCAACUCUUGUUAUGUAACUUUUGGGUAUCUUGGGUUUGAUGAGUCAAAAACUGCUUAUCUAGAAUUAGUUCUAGUUCAUGAUUUUUGAUCCAGGUUUCCGCAUUCCUACAGUAGUAUAUAUAUGUAAUACAAGCUAUAUUUUCAUUUGGACUCUGAAUUUUAAUCAGCCAUUAAUCAAAACUGCUAAAGGAAUCAGGAUCAAGGAACCAUCCAGUGAAACUUGUGAUACAAUCAAGCGAGGGAGAUGGUUCAUUUGGUUCUGAAAUGCUGCUUUAGCAGCCAGUGAAACUUCUUCAACCAGUAGGAGACUGAGACUUGUAAUUUCGUCGGUCAAAAAUUAUGUAACAAGUAACUACCCUAAUCUGUUUUUCCUGGGUUGCUUGUGUGCAAAGCAACAAUCAUGUACUUCUUAUUGAAAGGUUCCCAUUUAUGGCUGGAUCCCAAGAUUAACUAGAUCUCAGUUUUGUUUCACAGGUAAUUUCUCAUGCUGGUUUUGCAUGGUAUAUGUAUUGAAGCUACAUUUUUUUUAUAAUGUGAGAUUUUCAGUUCGGAAUACCUGAUUCAUUUGGCAAAAAAAAAAAAAAAACUUGACCAACUAAUUAAAGAUAAUACCUUUUCACCAUUGUGUAGUCAUCAAUGAUGGGAAGCUCAAUAUAUAUUAACAUCAACUUGAAUAAUUCAAGAUGAUGUAUGAUAUAAAUAUAAUAAACGAUGGAAAAAGUCUAUCUUUUUGGUAAUGGGUGAAAUUUCCAUAGCAUUUAAAUUCGAAUGAUUCCAUAAAGUGAGUUGGCCGUCUCUCUCACUUGUAAUAUUUUGUAAUUAUAAUUAAUCUAUAAGAUUAGCCCAUGAGAGAACAUGUCUUUUGUCUCCUAAACCUCCUUUAUUAUCAUUAUUACCACCAAUAAUCCUAUUUUUAUUCCAUUUCACAGCGAAGAUAAGUAGAGGUUUCGUUAUAAACAAAGGAGAAAACCUCAGAUAGAGCAUAGUAGAGAAGAAGAUGUAUCAAGAUCAACAACAUCCCGUUGGUGCUCCUCCUCCUCAAGGUAAUUCCCAAUAUUGUUUAGAUUUUAUUUUCCUUCUUGUUUUCUUGAAAUGACGUUGUGGUUGUUUUAUAGGGUAUCCUCCAAAGGAAGGAUAUCCACCACAGGGAUAUUGUAGCGACCGUGUUCCAAAGAUCGAUGUUAGGAUGAUCUGAGGAUUGACUGGUCGGACUGUGAAAACGUUCUGGAUGGAUUGGAUGAUGCUAGAAAGAGCUGAUCAGAGUUCGAAGGACUUUCCGUGGGUGGAUGGGAGAACUUGGAUUGGCGCCUGAUUAGUAGCGACUAGAGCGGAACCCUGAACCCGAUUAAAGCUAGGAACGGAUCUGUUUUUGAGCCAGACAAAGCUCCAUCAGUCGGUCUUACGCUCGGGUUAUUGGACCAGCCGUUAUCUCUAUGGUGCUAAGGUCCAAGUCUUCACGGACCAUAAGAGCUUGAAGUAUAUCUUUACUCAACCAGAGCUGAACCUUAGACAGAGGCGUUGGAUGGAACUGGUUGCGGAUUACGACUUGGAUAUUGCCUACCAUCCGGGAAAGGCGAAUCUGGUCGCAGAUGCCUUAAGCCGGAAGAGAGUAGCUUCGGCUUCAGAGAAAGACAUGGAGGAACUGGUUCACAUGGUUGGAACCUUACGAUUAGCUGCCUUGACUGACGAAUUGGAACCGUUGGGUCUUGGUGCAGCGGAUCAGGCGGACUUGUUGUUCCGAGUUCGCCUUGCACAGGAAAAGGAUGAAGAUCUGAUCAAAGCUUCCAAGAACGAGAAGACAGAGUAUCAGACUUCAAACAAUGGGACGAUUCUGGUUAAUGGCCGAGUGUGUGUUCCUAACGACAAAGGAUUGCGGGAUGAGAUCCUAAAGGAGGCACAUCAGUCAAAGUUUUCGAUACAUCCAGGAGCCAAUAAGAUGUAUCGAGACUUGAAGAGAUACUAUCAUUGGGUUGGAAUGAAGCGUGAUGUUGCAAAAUGGGUAGCUGGGUGCCCAAUUUGCCAAAUGGUUAAGGCAGAAAAUCAAGUCCCGAGUGGACUACUUCAGAGUUUACCCAUCCCAGAAUGGCCUUGGGAUAAGAUCACAAUGGACUUCGUGACUGGCUUGCCAAUGAGGAAUGGCAAGGACUCUAUCUGGGUGAUAGUGGACAGAUUGACCAAGUCCGCGUACUUCUUGGCUAUCAACAAAACAGACAAUGCAGCGGUGCUAGCUAAGUUAUACGUGGAAUAGAUCGUCAGACUUCAUGGAGUUCCGGUAAGCAUAGUGUCAGAUCGAGACUCCAAAUUUUAUUCGGCCUUCUGGAGAGCUAUGCAGAAGUCGAUGGGGACCAAGGUCCAUAUGAGUACAGCGUAUCAUCCACAAACGGAUGGACAAUCAGAGAGAACAAUCCGAACACUUGAAGACUUACUGCGAUCUUGUGUUUUGGAUUGGGGAGACAAAUGGGAUCAGUACUUGCAUCUGGCGGAGUUUUCAUACAACAACAGCUAUCAUGCAAGCAUUGGAAUGUCACCUUACGAGGCAUUGUACGGACGUCCGUGUAGGACACCACUAUGCUGGACCCAAGUGGGGGAGCGCAGCAUAUUUGGCCGAGAUUUUGUAGAAGAGACAACUGAAAGAAUCCGAGUCUUGAAACUGAAGAUGAAAGAGUCUCAGGACAGACAGAAGAGUUAUGCAGACAGACGCAGAAAAGACCUUGAGUUCGAAGUAGGGGACAUGGUAUAUCUCAAAACCGUCACCUACAAAGGCAAGGAUCGAUCCUCAAAGAAUGCCAAGCUGAGUCCAAGAUACAUGGGGCCGUACAAAAUCCUGGAAAGGAUAGGAAAGGUCGCCUACAAAUUGGAACUGCCCUCAUCGAUGGCGCAGUUCCAUAACGUGUUCCAUGUAUCCUUGCUGCGAAAAUGCAUAAGGAAUCAAGACAAUGUGGUUCCUGAACCACCAUCUGACUUGAGAGAGAACCUUACUGUGGAGGGACGACCAGUCCGGAUCAUUGGUAGAAAAACAAAACUUGAAGGGAGAAAGAAUAUCAGAAUGAUCCAAGUCGUUUGGGACUGCGAUGGAGAGGAAGAAACGACUUGGGAGCCAGAGGCGAGAAUGAAAGCUGAAUUUCCAAAGUGGUUUGACAAACUCACGGAAGAUUCAGGAAGAAAGACUCGAGGACGAGUCUGAGCCAAGUGGGGGAGAACUUGUAGCGACCGUGUUCCAAAGAUCGAUGUUAGGAUGAUCUGAGGAUUGACUGGUCGGACUGUGAAAACGUUCUGGAUGGAUUGGAUGAUGCUAGAAAGAGCUGAUCAGAGUUCGAAGGACUUUCCGUGGGUGGAUGGGAGAACUUGGAUUGGCGCCUGAUUAGUAGCGACUAGAGCGGAACCCUGAACCCGAUUAAAGCUAGGAACGGAUCUGUUUUUGAGCCAGACAAAGCUCCAUCAGUCGGUCUUACGCUCGGGUUAUUGGACCAGCCGUUCGGUUUGUUGAAACUCAGGAUGUUCAGACAACUCGAUGAAAAUCCAGGCAAAGCGGAAUUUUCGGGCAGCGAUGGUCGGAUCCGGACAAGUGUUGUUGGAUUCGGACAAGACGGGUGAACUGGUCGGCUAGACAGCGGUUGUCUGAAAUCAGGCAAGGUGGUUAAGACUGUCGGCUAAACUGAGAUGAGCUGAUUCAGUAGAAUCAGUCUGAUUCGGACAAGCCGGUUAGAGUUGAUGACUGGAUCAGUCGGCUCUAGCUCGAUUUCUGCCUAAGUUAAACUGGCGGGAACAGUUAAAGUCCGAAUAGUGGAAAAACUCGCGCUGGAACGGCUUAGAGCGCGGGGUGUCGGUAACGGUUUAAGAGCCACGCGUGGAAUACACGGACUGUCGGUCACGGUUUAAGAGCCGCGCGUGGAAUCUGCGCGUGAAAUACACAGAGUGUCGGUGACGGUUUAAGAGCCGCAGUUUCUCGGGCCUAAACCGCCCAACUGCCUUUUUAAUCGUCUCCUUCGUCUUAUUUCGACAUUCUGUACGAAAACUGGAAGAGAGAACCAGAGAGAAAACACACAGAGAGAAAGGUCCGAUUAAGAGAGAACUUUCGAUAUUUGGCUGAGACCCCUGAGGGGUCUGCGAGCAACGUGGCCAGGAAUGAAGCUGGUACGGAAGAGGCUCGGAAUGCUGCCCAGAAUGCAGCGAACUUGAACAAUGCUGCAGCGGCUGGUGCUGCUGCUGGAGCUGCUGCUGCUCCGGUUGGAUUGGAGGCCGUUUUGGCUAUGUUGGCGCAAGUCUUGGCAAGACUGCCUGCAGCGGUGGCACCUCCAGUGGCUGCACCUGUUGCGGAGGAAGCGGAGAACGUGGUGCCUGAUGGAGAAGAGGUGUCAGACUCGUACUGAUGUUACGAAAAAAUGGGUCGGGGCGUUUCAGAUAUCCUCCGGCUGGUUAUCCUCCGGCUGGUUAUCCUCCACCACCGCAGGGAUACGGUCAGGCAUAUCCAGCACAAGGGUAUCCUCCUCCGCAAUAUCCUCAAGGUCCUCCGCCUCAGUAUCCUUAUCAGGGUCCUCCGCCACCACAGUAUGGUCAGGCUCCGCAAAAGAAGAAGAAAGACAAGGAUUCAGGAUUUGUUGAAGGAUGGUGCGUUGACCCAAUCUCUAUAUCUCUUUUUUGCUUUUUAUUAUAUGGAUUUGAUUAAUGGUUGCAACUGAAGGAGCGGAUAACUAGUGGAUAGUACCACUCUUUGUUCACCAUUCAUAAACUUUGGUCAUAAACAUAGACCGUUUUUAUGAAGAAAUAGAACGGUCCAGUCCUUAAACGGAUUAGUCUCGUCUAGUGCAAUCAUUUAAAGUCUAUAUGUUUGCUUGUGAAUGUUACUGAUAUGUAUGUGUGUGUUUGUAUUACAGUUUGGCUAUGCUCUGCUGUUGCUGUCUCUUGGAAGCUUGUUUUUGAUUGAAGGCCGUGAUGAUAUUUGCCGUUGACCGUCGUUCGAGAUGCCAUUGUAUUUUACAACAAAAAAAAAGACGUUUGAUCAAACAUUUAGAUAGCUUCUUCUGGCUACGUGUGUGUGUGUAUGUGCGUUCACGUUUUGUGUUUGUUUCUGUUCUUUAUUUUAUUGCUAUGAUUUGGAAUUUAAUCCGAGACUUGUUUUUUUUUAUUUUAUUGACUAUUAUUUUAGUAAGUAUUCUCCCCAUCUUUUGUAUAUGUACAACAAGUGAGCUAUCACCUUUGAAUAAAAGCAUUCAAUAUUUUCAGCAAAAUAAACAAACUCGUUUUCUUGUUUCUUAAGUCUCGUCAGAUGUAAGAAGAGUGACAGAAGAAUCAAAUAUGAAAUCAAAGUCGAUGACACAUAGUCACAUAUAGCCAAACAUACACACUUUUGACAUCGUAUGUAUAAUCAUACGAGAGAAACAAUAGUAACAGAGCAAGUUUGAAUCACCUUAACCAAGAAACUAACUUGAAGAAGAACAACAUCCAUAUUAAUACAUUUAACUAGAUUUUGACUCGCUCUUAGAAAGCGCUGGUUUGUUUUCGAAACUAAAUAAACUUUUUAAAUGAAUUUCAAUAUAAAAUAAUGUAUAGGUCUAGCAACAUUUACAUGAAACCGUGAACCGAACCAUAUCAAACUAAAAACACAAAACUAAAAUUGAAAUUAAUUUCAUAAAUAACCCAUCAGAUAUGAUAUCUCUGAAUCCUAAAAUUGAAACCGAACCGAGAAUCAAAUGGGUACCUCAAUUUAAAAAUACAAAUUAUAUACCAAUAAAUAAUAAUUAUAUUUGAUUUCUAAAUAACCAAAUAUCUAAAAACUACAAUUUAUAAACCAAAUUACCCAAAAUUGAAUUACCCUAAUAUUUUUAUUCAAAAUAUUUAAAAUUAUCCAAAUUAUCAGAUAUUUUUUUCGAACAAAUUGAAUUGCCCGAUAUUUAAAUUGAAAACCCAAAAUUAUCCAAUAUGUUUUAUCUAUCAAUCUGAAAUUACCCAAAACCCCAGAAUUAAACUGGAACAUAAUUGGACCUGAAUAAAAUCUGAAAACCCAGAAUUGAACUGGAACAUAAUUGGACCUGGAUAAAAUCUACAAACCCACCAUUAAAAUUUAAACUGGUACUGGUUACCCUGGUAAAAACCCAGUAAAACAUGAUAACACUUUUUCAAAAAAAUUGAUUAAAAUUUUCAUGUAAUUUAUAAUAAUAUAUAAAACUAAAUAAACUAUUUAAUUUGUCCCGGUAAAAUCAAAAAAAUCUGUUAACACUUUUUAUAAAAUUGAUUAAACUUCUCAUGUAUUUUAUAAUAAUAAAUAAAAUUAAAUAACCUAUUAGACUUGUCAUACGAAGUACAUGUAUAUGAAAUCAGAUUAUAGUUUAGAAAUAUAUGAAAUAGGGUUUAGGAUAUACGGUUUAGAAGUUUGUGGAAAUAUGGUUUAGGAUAUAGGGUUUGAUUUAUACUGAAAAUAUGAUAAUCUCUAAAAAUAUGUAAUUGAACAAAUACAUAGAUUUAAGAAAAUACAUGAAAAUGGUGAGGGUCAAAUAAGUAUACAAUAUAUGGUUUACGUUGUAGGGAUUUGGUUUGUAUUAAAAAUAUGCAUAAUACCCUUGAACGCAUUUUAUAAUUAUAUAUAUAUAUUUAAAACAUGAAUAGUAUGCCAAUGAUAUUACGUGUAUACGCACACCAAUUAACCUAAUGUGCACACUACCACAAUCGAAUGGUAUGUCGAUGUAACACUUUAGGAUCGAAUCCACAGAGACCAACGAUUACACUUUAUCUUUAUGAGAUCAAUACUUAGCUAAAACAAUGAUGGGGUUUUGAGAUUAAGGUUUCAUAACAAGCAAGUAAUAAGAUUAAUUAAAGCUUUCAGAUGAUUAAAAUGCUAGCCUAGGGUGGUUUGGUCGGGUGUUAAACAAGUGUGAGCCAAACAAUUAUUCAAGUUCGAUUAAAGACCAGUCUAGAACUCGGAUCACUUAAGAUAGAUCAGCCCACUGUCGUGGUGCUUCACCUUUUGUCAAUCGAUCUCAGUACCUAAACUGUCGUUUGGACUGAGAUGCGAUGACAAACAUUAAGAUCAAGUCCGAUCUGUUUACAAAACACCCUAACAUCUACUUUCGCUGGUUAGGGAUAUAAUGCUCAUUCAAGUUAUGUCUAGCAACCUAUAACACUUUUGAUGAAUAGAUUAAACCUAGAAUCAGGCACUAAGUGGUUAACUUGAUGCAAGCCUUAAGAACAACAGUGAAUGAAAACAAUCGAUUUAUAACUUAUUUAUGUCAAGGUCACGGAUCUAACACCCUAACACCCUAGACUAAUCAAGCUGACUCCUCAGCAAUGAAGAAAGAAAACACAGAGACAGAGAUAUAAAGCAACAUGAAAUAUGACUGAAAUAAAGUAAUAGGGUUCAAGGGGUUCUUCUCUAAAUCGAGAGAGAUGGUCUUCUCCCUUUACAAAGUAGCAAAAUCUCAAGUCUCCAACUCUAAGGUCUGGUUUCUUCUCCAAAAUAGCGUGGUAAAAUAUAGAAAAACAGAAAAAGAAGUUUUUUGGAGCCACAGGCGGCUGGGAGAAAAAUAUGGGAUAAUUAGAGCAAUUCCCGUAAUGACUUGUAGUUUCCUUAAAAAUCUCUGCCGCUGGAACAUGCACUCGGGUUGCUCCGCACUAUCCAGAACAGUCACUCGGGUUGCUCCGCUAUCGGGAACAGUCACUAAGACUGUUCCGCGUGAAAAUCUCCAGAUUGCAUUGUGUUAUGUCCUUUUUGUUCCAGCUGGUCUAUCGCCAAUCCAAUGCAACUCCAGACCUGUAAUGACUCGAAAAGGACUAGGAAGACUCGAUAAUGACUUGAAAACCAAUUAGAAAACAUAUAUACAAGGUGCCAAAAACACCAUAUAUCAAUUCCCCUAGACGUAGAUCCUUGUUUGUCCUCAAACAAUGUCAAGUAUCAAAAACAGGGAGAAAGGUUUGAAAGUGUGAGAACUCUCCUAUUCUCAGCAACCAUACUUUAACCACGAAUCUCUGAACCAUACAAGCAAUAAAACUAGGACAAUACACCCUUACUGGAACCCCACUGACUGCUGUUCAAAAAUCGGCUCCAUACUCUUCAUCUCAAACCUGAAAAAGCAACACUAUCGAGACAAAACUCCCUACAUUCAUUUAAGAGUAGCGUGAUCUUCUCAUCACAGGCAUUAUUCAGGGUAGACGGUCUAGGUGUGAAACAGACUAUUUAACUGUGGAGUUAAAAGUGUUUAGGGGCUACCAUUUCAUUGAAGAGGAUGCAUGAUAUCGCACAAAAUGGCAAGAGAGGAUAGAUCCAUUGAUAUCCACAGCCUCUCCUCGUUUUUGCUCUAUCUGGUGCGACUGUUCUGAUGACGGAACAUGCAACUGAUUGUUCUGCGUUCCACUUUCUUUUUGGUACCCACUCCUUUGCUCGAUCUUCUCAGUGGCUCAUGUUUCUUUGAUUUCUUCCCCUUCUCCAUCAACCAACUACUUUGAUCACGACCGAUAGUAUUUUUUGUGUUUGUAAUUUAUAUAAGGUCGAAAUAUGUAUAUUGCAUAUUAUUAAUUUGUUUUGACUUUUUCUAUGAAGUGAAUAAAAGUGCACUUAAAAUAUUGAGUGUGCAAAAAGCCAAAAACGCAUGUAAAAUGCAAAAAUAUCGGAAGAUAUAAUGAUAGGCAGUUGGGUUGUUCCCUUUUAAUAAUAUUGUUAUUUUUGAUUAAUUAAGGUAAAUAUGAAAUGAGAUAUAUUAAGUUUCUAUUGAAUAGGUCCAACAAUCUUGUUUAAGUAGAUUUUUUAGGAUUCGUUCUCUUUUAAUAGCAUAGAUGUAUCAAUACCAUUAAAAAAGGAUCAUUCUCAAAUUAUAUCCUUAAUGAAAAUUGCAGUUUUCUCAAAAAUACCCUUAUUUUUACAAAGAAUUAAUAAAAUUCAUUAAUGGCAUUUAAGUCUUUUGGUUUUGGGCCUACAGAUACACCUAAAUGGAUCUAUAAAUAAUAGGCCUAUAUAUAUAUUUAAAAUAUAUAUUAAUUUUAAAUUUAAUAUAAGUAUAAAUAUAUUAUGAACAAUAAAUGAAUUAAGAAACAUGAAAAUAUUAUUUUCUUAAAUAUACGUAUCAAUAUUCAAAAUAGAUCAUUUGAAUAUUAUACAUAUUUUCAAUACAAACCAAAAUCGUAUAUCCUACACCAUAUAUCAUAUACAUAUUUGAAUAUCAUUUUUCAGUGUAUAAUGUCAUUUUAUACAUAAUAUUAAUAUGGCAAUUACGAGUGUUCAAGAAUAUUUUAAAAACUAUCUUAAAAUAAAUUUUUAAAUCUAAAAUACAAACACAAACUUAUAAUAGGUUAUUAAUAACGAAAAUAAACUAAUAUUGUCAUAUCAAUAAGUUAUUUUAUAUUAUCAUUUUUUAUUUAGAUAACAUGAUAAAAUUUUAUCAAAUUCUAAGGAAUCACUAAUUUAUGUAAUAUUAAUAAAUAUAUGAGUAAUUUAAUCAAUUUUUUAAAAAAGUACUAUAAGAUAUUUUGUUAUCGGAUCAAUAGUAUCAGAUCGCGGGUUAAUAGUGAGUUUUUAGGUUUUUACCGGGUUAUAUCGGAUUUUUAAUUAACAAAUUUUUCAUUAAAUCCGAACAGGAUUAUAUACAAUGUAUCGGGCCUAUAGGUUCAAACAUGAAUCUAGGUCAGAUAUGAAAACAAAUUUUAAAACUCAAACAUUAUUAUAGAACAGCUACCAUAUUUCGAACAAAUAUCAUAUUUUGAAGAGAAAAAAAACAAAUGAUAAAAACCUAAAAACUCAAUUGUUAUGGUUCGAAAUGAAAAAUAAUGGUAAUUUGUAAAUCAGUUUUCGAUUAAUAAAUGAAAAACAAACAAACCCGCGCUUAGAAAGCGCGGGUCAAAAUCUAGUUAAUACUUUAAACAAAUAAGAUUAUAUCAUUAGAUCACUCUGAUUUUGUCCGGAGAUUAUUUCCUCUUCGGACAAACCACGAAAUAUUUUCAAUUUGGAUACCCAACCUAAAUAAAUUUAUCAUCACUCCAGAAUUAUUCGGUACAUUCCAUUUCCCGUCUUCAGAAAUUAUCUAAACCACCCACCAGUUCCUUCAUGACUCACAAUUUUAAAUAUUUAACUCGCAAUAGAUAUACAUUAAAAAUGAUUUACAAAGGUUUAAGAUCAUAGGAGCUGCAUUAUACUUUUAACUGAGUGAAAUAAAUAUAUCAACUAAUCAAUACUUAACACUUGUUAAAAAUGAUUAGUUAGUUGUUAAAUGAAUUUGAAAGUGUCUAAAACAAAAAAAAAAAUUGAAAGAUCGUCAAACUCGAAAGAACAAAACAGCCGAUAGAAAGAGUUUGGUAAUCAUCAAGGCAUCCUCUAAAACCACUGAAGCCAUUAAUUAUAGUCAUUUUGGAUGAUUGGUCGUGCCUGUAGAUACUUUAGAAAGUCAAAAUUUAGUUUAAAAUCAUACAUAUCAACUAAUCAUGAUUUUUUCUCAUUAAAAAAGUUACAGCCAAAAUAUCUCUGAAAAAUAAAAAAAAGAUGUAGAUAUCUUUAUUUAUUUAUUUUUUAGUUUUGAUUAAUCUGGGGUAUUUCAGGCCCAUGGAGAGGCCCAGACUAAACCCCAAGAGGAGGUGCAUCCCACGGAUAGAUCAUUUCUCCGGGUAUUCAAAUGGACCCUAAAGCAUAGGUUCAUAUCCGUGUUAGGUGACCAGGAUAAUUGUGACUUAGUUUCGCGCAGCAGGUGAAUCGAACCUGAAACGUGUUGGCGUCUCAGUCCCGUCUCCUUACCACUCGACCACAAUCACCUGGUCAGAUAUCUUUAUUUCUAGAACAAAAAAAAUAGUGCUUUACGAAGCUAAAUCAAAAAUAUUUACAAUAAAUAAAUCUACAGCUAUUAUUCUAAAAAAAAAAUAAAAGCCACAACACUUACCAUUAUCUUUGGAUAAUUAAUAAUUUUUCUUUAUUUUUAAGAUUAAUGUUUUGGAUAUUAUUUUUAUAUUUGAAAAUUGAUGUUUUAGAUUUUAACUAAUGCAUAUUGCUUUAAAACUAAAACAUAAAUUAAAAAAAAAAAUUAUAAAUGAUAUAAUUUCUCUAAUUUUAUGAGCAUGCAAAUAAAACUAAAAAUGUAACUUAAAAAUAACAAAUAAAAGUAGGAUAUUUAAUUUUAUAUAUACUUGUAAAUUCUAAAAUGUUAAUGUUUUAAAUAUGGAACGAGUAUAUAUGUAAUAAACUUAAAAUAAAUAAAAAUAUGUAAUGUUACUAUAACUUGAUGUGAUUGGUAACAGACAUUUUACUUAAACAAACUAAAAGUGUAAGACAAAUCUGUAAAAUGGAGAAAGUAAAGGGGUCCAGUCUCCAAAAAAAAAAAGAGAAUUCAUCCUCUGAAUCGAAAACAAAGGUCAAAAGUCCCUCCCCCUCAUUGUCUUCUUCGUUGUCUCUGCAACAAUCUUAGAUUCAUAAUUUGGAUCCCCAUGUAAUCUCUGCUGGAUAUCUGAAUCACUACUGCGAUUGAAAAACUUGGUGCGGAUUUGCUUUUCAUCCUCUCAACGGUUCUCUUCUACAUCUCAAUUUAUAAAUCAGCCUUUCUUGUGUCAUUUGCUGACAGAGACAAGAAGUAGAGAGACAUUCCAAGUUCUUGUCUUUAUUGUUGUUGUGUGUUCUGGGAGAAUGGGAGCACCAAAGCAGAAGUGGACAUCGCAAGAAGAAACAGCUCUUAAGGCUGGAGUUCUCAAACAUGGCACUGGCAAAUGGCGCACCAUUCUCUCCGAUCCUGAGUUCACCUCUAUCCUCAAGUCUCGCUCCAAUGUCGAUCUCAAGGUAACUAACUCUAUAUACUGAUAAAAAGAGAGAGAGAGAGAGAGAGAGAGAGAGAGAGAGAGAGAGAGAGAGAGAUAAGAUCAUUUGAAAACUUACAUUUUGUUUUGGUUGAAACACAGGACAAAUGGAGAAACAUAAGUGUAACGGCUAUGUACGGAUCUAGGAAGAAGGCUAAGCUUGCUCUUAAAAGAACUCCUUCCUCUCAUGAUGAUGACAACGCUACUGCUCUUACCAUCGUCGCUAUCGCCAACGGAGUUCAACACAUUUCUCCUCUUCCUCCUGCAGUUUCUUGUGCACCACCACCGCCACGAGAUUUUGAAGGACUCUUUUCAAGGUUUUGACCUAUUCUUUGUAUCCUGAAGCUUCAUGAGAGGGAUAGUUUUGAGCUCUAAUUAAAGUAUGUUUUUUUUUUUUUUUGGGUUGGUAGUGUGGAUAAGAUGAUAUUGGAGGCUAUUGCUAACUUUAAGAGACAUUUGGGUCCUGAUGGAAAGUCCAUCUUGCUCUAUGUUGAGGUAUUCUUUCUAUGCUUAUUGUUCCUUUUGAUUCAUCAUCUAUUUUCAAUUCACCAACAACUUACUGUGUCUGCCCUCUAAACUUUUUCAAGGAGAAACACAAUAUGCAACCUGAUAUGAAACGGCUUGUGACUUCAAGACUUAAGCAUUUGGUUAAUGUUGGAACUAUAGUUAAGGUAAGAAAUAAAUAUAACACUUUGAUCCAAAGUUCUUCUUAUAUAAUCAUAUGUUCUCAUGAUUCUGCUAACAAAUGUCUCUCAGAUUAAGCACAGAUACAGGAUUUGUCGGAACGGAGCAGAACAAAGCUCUCCUCAACUUUAUCUGGAAGGAAACAAGGAGAGUGGUGUCCAACAACGUCUUACUAGAUCACAAGUAGAUGGAGAGCUGUUUAUGAUAAAGGGCAUGACAGCACAAGAAGCUGCAGCAGCAGCUGCAAGAGCAGUAGCAGAAGCAGAGUUUGCAAUAGCAGAAGCUGAAGAAGCGGCUAGAGAGGCUGAUGAAGCCGAAGCCGAAGCUGAAGCUGCACACAUUUUUGCCAAAGCUGCAAUCAAAGCUUUCAAGUAUAGGAUGCAAUGUAAGAAAAUAGCCUAUGUCCGUUCUUCACAAACUAUAUGGAUGAAAUGUUAAUGGGUGUAUCUUUCUUGUUUUUGUGCAGGUAGUGAAGCCAGAUAAUGUCAAGUUUGAAUCGCUGCAGUAAUUUUUGAGGGUUAGUAAAAAGUGUAUAUUCUGCAGCGUGUAGCUUUGGUCCCUAACUCAAGAUAAGAUUAUUGUAAAACAAUUGUCCAUUGUUAUGUUGUUUAUCUCUUCUUUGUAGUAACCUCAUAGGUUUCUUGUAGAAACUGGUUUGAAGAGAAAUAAAUAAAGCCUUUGAUCAUCACCAGAGCUUUCAUUUAUCCUUCCUUGGCUUAAAUUUAUAGUGGUUUAUAUAUUGUGUUUCCAAAAAUUUUAAAUGCUCAAGCAAAAUCCAAUAUAUAGAGACCAGACUGGAACAGACCAGCAGCAGGGGCAAACUCUUGUUUCACACGAGAAAAUAGUCUUCAACGAGGCACACAACACAGAAGACUGAGAAACUUAUUUGAUUUUGAAUGCUUUAGGAGCCAAUCAAAGACCUCGUCAAUGUUGGCAUUGUUCUUGCAUGAUAUCAUGAAACAGCAGACUUCUCUAUCUGUAAACAACUGAAGCCCCCUGCAAUCACAAUAUAAUAUAUAAUAAAACAAACAUGAUCUGAUGACUUUUGUGCUGUUUCUGGAGUGUGUAUAGUUGAAGAAAGAGAGCUAUCUAUACAUUUCAUCAGUUAAGGCUUCUUUAGAGAGAGUCCAGGUUCGUCCAUCUUGUUCCCAAGAACAAGAAGAGGGAUACCGUUAAGCAAAGUCUUGCACAACUUAUGGAGUUCAUUUUUCGAGAUAAACAGAUUGUCAAGAUCUGCAGCAUCAACAUACCUGCAGCAGGACAAAAGGACUCCAACGUGAACAAAACGUUCCCAAGAGCUGCGGAAUCUUGAUUGCCCACUAGCAUCCCAUAUCUUGAAAGUAACAUUUCCUUUUAUCACUUCCCUCAUGUGAAAACCAAUCUGCAAAAUGUUUGUAUUCUAGUAUUGUCUUAUUGAUGAUGUAUUUCUUGUAUAAGAGGUGUAACACACUUACAAUCGGAUCCAGGUCUUCACUAUAUCCAACAUUCUAAACAAGAAAAACAAAAGCAUAUCAGAUAUAUGCUUUACCUCAACAACAUUGAUAAGUGACGUCUUUCCGCAUUUUGAAGCCCUAUUAAUGAAAGUUCAAUUUCUUGCUUGAAUAAGAGGCUGCAAAAAGCAUUUAUUGAAGCAAACAACUGAAUUGGUCUACCCUAAACUUGGCGAUCAAUAUCCAUAUGGUGACAUCAAUUUCUUGGAGUUUGUCUCUUUAGACGAAUUAAAACUACAAAACCAAUUUUAUCACAAUUACAAGGAGCCAAGAAUACAAUACUACUGAGCUGAUAUAAGACAAUAAUAAGAAAAAGGAUGAUAUUAUCUCACCUACGAAGCCAAUUGAGAGAAGCUUCCCACCAACCCAUUGAUGAAGAACUCAAAAAGCUCUGACGGAUACAAUAAUCAGAUUCUUCUACGGAUCCCAAAGAGCCCGUAGGUCGGUUGACUUUGAACACCUCGUGUAAGAUUGGCUGUAUUUGUGUUUUGAGUUUGGGGUAUGUGUUUGAUUUCAAAGGUUAUGAAAAUUUCCUUAACCAGUUGUAUUUCUUUAAGAUAUGAUGCAAAAAUAGAUAGUCUAAAACCAUUUUCAAUAAUUGAGAACAAUCUAGGUAAAAGUCACCUGAAAUUAUCCGAAAUUUUUCAUACAUUCUAUUGCCUAAAUAAAAAUUUCAAAUUUCGCAUGCAAAGAAGAUAGGGUGCCUCUAUCCCCCCAGUGUACUAUACUAACUUUGUCCCAAGAGAUGAUCUUUAUCUUUCCAAGAUCCAUCUGUAAAACACCAUUUUUUUACUCUGCAUGGUGUAUUUUGGGUUGCUUCCUUCGUGCUUUGUGUGGACAAUAGUUGAGAGCCGGUCUGCACCAUAGAUGUCUCAUCCUCAUUCCGUAAUGUCUGCUUAUGUCUCUACCAACUGUAAAGUAUAUGUAUGGUCUUUAUUUAUACCAUAAUAAACUUUAUCAUUGCAUCCCUUCCAAAUGUACCAAAUAUCCAAACAAAUUGAGCAUUUUCUAUGAGCAAUGCAAUCCUCCAAAACAGAUAAUCCAUAUUCAUAAAACAAUUGCAUUGGAAAGCUACAUAGGUUCGUGGGGACCCUUGAUAGGACCCAAACUUAGAACAGUUGGAAGACGUUAAAAACAUGGUCUAUCAUUUUUUCAUCCGCUCCACAUCUUUCACAAUGUGUGUCACACUUUAUCCUUCGAAAUUUGAGAUUUCUUCUUACCGGUAAACAACCUGAAAAUAAUAUAUCAGAGGAAGUGUUUUAACUUUGGAGAGCAAUUAAUUUUCCAUGAAUAAACUUGCAAAGUCUUAGUAUAUGGACCAAAUAUUUGUGGUUUUCUCAUUCUAUCCGGAUAGAGUUAUUCAACUUCAUAUCUAGAAUUAAUUGUAUAUUUGCCAGCUUGUGUAAAACGCCAUCCAUCUUUAUAUAUAGAUUGAAUCCGGCUUAAUUAGUGGAAUGUUCUUAGUGAGGUUCGAAUCAUCUGGAUCAAUCAAAGUUCUACUUACAUGUGUAUUCCACGUACGUGAUGUAUGGUUGUUGUUGAACUUAUCUACUAUAAGUGCAUGAUCAAAGUGAUGUGAUUUAUUAUUUACCGGUGUCGGCCAAGCAGAUGAAGUCUAUGUAUCAUUCCACACCAAAAUAGAUGAUUAUUGUAACACCCCCGAACCGUACUAGGCAUAGGUCAACUCACCGGCCAACAAUCAAACAAGAACAUGACCGACGGACGACCUACACCAAGGGUUGGAGAUGAAAGGCCAACCGGCCAGUCAACAAUCAAACAAGAACAUGACUGACCGUCCAACCCAACACCAUGGUCCGGAAGCGCUACGUGACGGGUUAGGGACGAUCCGGCCAGAGUCACAAAAUUUACUCCACGACCUCGACCAGUUCGUCCACUAACACGUCCCGCUGCGUCAAGACACAAGGCUUUGCAAUCUGUACCUAGAGUUAGAGUUUUCCGUUAGAUCGAGGUCUAAGGCUUUUCAACCCAUACCACGACCUAACGUUGACAAGUCAACAACCAAUCCCUAGUUAACCAUAUAUACGCCUGAGUUCAGUACUCAUGUAGUGUUAGACACUUAGACUAUACAAGUAUCAUGAGCCAGUCGACCAACAAUCAAACAAGAACAUGAUCGGCCAACCAAUGAUACCGCAUAGCUUUAAUAUCCACACCCUUCACAAGCAAUCCCCCAAACACAUACAUGCCAACGUCAGGCCUACACUAACCAAAUACACACCAAGCCUAGUCUGGUACCUGAACCAGACUUAGGACUUAAUGUCAGAACCUGCAAACAAAUCAAUCAACAACCAAACACAAUCAUAAUAAUAAGAUACUAUGAGUAACUACGACUCGAUCUAUCUCGUAACACCGUAUAUCGAUGCUACACUAACUCGAGGGUUCCAUAACCAUGUACGACACACUAACACAACACUCUAACCUGGGCCCUGGUGACUUCGUGUUCAUCCUCUCUAUCGGCAAUAUCCUAUCUUCCUACCACAGAGGCCAGAAGAAGGAACUUUC